rnacentral:lncRNA from 1 species
UUUUUUUUUCUUCUAAAUAAUUUAUUUCAUCAUCUUUCUCAUUUGUAGGGCACUUUGAUCUGUUUCUUCCCAAAGCAUAUAGUUAUUAGGAACUUAUUUGUUUCUCUCUCUCUGACAAUUUUAAAUUAUUAUAUGUUAUCCUACACUGUUUUGGAAUGUCUCAUAAUAUUGUUUAUCAACAAAUUUUCAACUAUAAAAUUACUAGGAGUAUGAUAAUAUAAAAGCCAAAAGUUGGAGAGGUUUUUGAGACGAACCUGGAGAUCUGGACCACUCAUUAGCCCAUCUCACUGACUGAUCUCAUACAAACAGAAGGCUUGAAUUUCUCUCUUGUACGGUCCAAAUUUCUCAAUGCAUCGACUCAAAACUUUGAAAUUCAUAAAGAAUCUCAAUUCUUUAAACUUUUCCAUUUAAAGUUACAAGUAAAAGAGAAGGGAGAGAGGUGUGCUCUUGAAAAUUACCUCAUUUAUGAAAGCCACAUUUGAUCAAGUGUCACUUUCCAUCACCUAGGAGUAGGACCCCAUGUCUUAAGCUUAUUAGGUUAAGUUUUUGGUGCGGCGUGCUAUCAUGGGCUAGAUGUUUUUUGGUAUCGUCCUAGACUCUCUCGGACACUCAUACGCUAUAGUAAGUAAUUAUCUAGUUUAGUUGUGUUUAACUGAACGGAAAGAACUUACAUCUACCUCUUCAGACUCUACAGUAACAUUGCAGCCAACAAAAUAAUGAUAUGUCUUUUUAAUUUCCGACUUAAACAUUUUAGGAUUGAUUUAGGACACUAUAAUACGGAUUUCGAAAAAAUGCAUGUAAGUCUCUCUCGAUGUAAAUCCUAAAAAAAUGAAACAAAAUGAAACAAGGACUAGUUGCAUCUCACCAUACAUAACUAGCUCCACUUCUAAUUGUGACCGUUCAGAACUUCAGACUGAUUGCCAAUUAAGCACCAAAAUCAGUGUUGAAAAUGGAUUUAUCCCAAAAGUUGCAAGGACCAACUGCUUUAUGGGGAAAUAUUAGAAAGUGGUGCCACUUAAAAUGUUGGGAGAGAAGUUUCCUCCAUAAUUUACAUCCCUAAAUCACUCUCACUGUGUAUUCACAUUCACAUCUGCAUUUGCAAUUGCAUCUCUCUAAAAUUAUGAUUGCAUAUAAGAAAGCUUCAAGCCACUCUUCCUUAUAGUUGCUUUACAAUUAGUCUUUUUUUUUUCAAUCUAAUAAAACAAACAAUAAUUAAGCUUUAUUCGAUUGAGCGAGGUCGGCUGUAUGAAUCAUAAAACGCCACUGCUUUAUCGAUGUUGCCAAAGAUCAAAUCCGAGCCACCUGUGUGAUAGGCGGGAAUACUACCACGAUACUACAACGACCUUGAAUGAUUGUUUCCCAUCACGAUUUGUAAAUUAGGGGAUCCGAAAUUUGAAAAAGCUUCUGCAGAUAGAAUUGAACACUUGGGGUUGCUGGAGGUGUGGAUAAAUCUUUUGAAUUAAGGAAAUAUAAUUAGUUUGUGGAAUCAUGAGGAAUCAAAGUCCACUGUGCACUUUCCAUCAAUGGGGAAGAAAUUUUGGUUCAAGGUGGUUGCAUAGCACCUACCACUAAGCAUUUGAGUUUGUUUUAAAUCAUCUAAGUUAGUGACAUGUGAAAACGUAUAUUAAUAAUAUAAGUUUUGGAAAAAUUAUUGAUUGGUAUUGAAAUACAAUUAUGCGAUAUACUUACUUUUCGUUUUUAACAUAAACAAACAACUGGUUUAUGCUUUUGAAUGAAAAAUCAAUGAUCGAUAUGGAAAGAGGGGUGAAAUGGAAACUUCACUCUAUAUCAGUGAAAUAUAAGAAAAUUAGUGAGUAUCAAUGAUAUUUACCGAUUCAUUACAGAAAAUUUGUCAGAACCCAAUACAGAUUUCUAACUUUCGAAUUUUUCUUUUGCGAUUUUAUUUUUAUUUUUAUAAUUUCGACUAAAUCUGAAUGAAUUGAUAUACCUACCCCAUUGUAAAUUUCCAUAAUUUCUGUUGAAGGUAACCAAUGUCGAUAUAUCCAUCGAUAUUUUUAUAAAUUUGCAUAUCUAUAUUUCUACCUAACAUAUAAAUGAAUUGGUUAUACCACUCAAUAAAAUCACGGUGCUACUCAUUUACCCUUAUUCUUCACAAAGCACACAAAGUUGUUUUUGUGCAUUUUUUCCAACUAAAUAUGUUCAUUCCAUCAUCUGAAUGUAGUGUGUGUUCUGUGGACGACCUCAGCCCUCAGGACCACCUUUUUUUUAGGGCAAUAAAAGCUCGAGUCAGCUUUGCAUUGCAUCAACUCGAAUCAAGAAGCACUUGAGAGGAGUAUCAAUUGCAUUAUGUAAAUAGAAGUAUGAACUCAUAUGGUCUGUGCUUCAAAUAUAUUCAACCACCACAUAAGGAAACACCAAAUCUUUCAAAACCAAAUAUGCAUUAUUGCACUCUCUAACUCUUUAGGCAACUUGGAUUUGCUUCUCACUUAAUCAUAUCACAAACCUCUAUCGCUUUUGAGUAUCGAUUUUGGUACUCGUUUUAUCUUCUACCAUUACAAAUCGAGUCAUUUAUAAUUUUUAUAAAAUCUACAAUGAGUGUGUGAUGCAGACGUGGAUUAUGUCAAUUAAUCGUGAUAAUGUGCCUAUCUACCAGACUCUCACUCAAAUUUCAAUCCUCUCUCCGUAAAUCAAAGUAAGAAUAUGCCAUAAGCUAAAUUGUUUGUUGUGAUAGAGAAGCUGACUCAUUUAUUUAGAUAGAGAAAUGUUAAUACGAAAUGGAAGAAUUAGGAGUAGGGUUGGUCAUAGCUAUUUUUUCCAUUUUUAUCUCUGCAUAGAAUUUGGAAAUGUAUUACCUAACAUUAACAAUUGAGGGUAGCUAGGUUUCCUUUUAGGGUUUCUGAUUUUUAUUUGUUUUCAGGUGGAUAUCUUUAUCAUGCCUUUUCUGAUCCUAUAUUGUCGAUAGAUUAGAGAGUAAUUUUGUUUAUAAGUUGGACCAAAUAAAUCAUAACAAUGUUCUAAAUUUACCGAAUCUUUUUGCACUCGAGUUUGAAUUAUUCUCUCUAUGUUAGAUUUGAAUACCGCUUUGUGAAAAUAAAAAGAGAGAGAAGUAAACAACUUUGCGGAGCCUCACUUUGGGCCUGUAGACUGUAAGGAUUGGGUCAUGGAUGGGAUUGUGUUCAUACUCAACACUGUAGGAUACAAACCGACUAGGCCCAGCCACAAGAAAGGCCGCCGUGGCUCAAAUAAUUGAAGAAGAAUUGAUUUGCUGUGUCACUCUCAAUCAGUUCUUUUGACGGAGAUCAGCUAACGAGAUAUUUGUCGAUUGAUAGGGACGUUACAUAAUACUGAAAUCUCAGUAAUAAUAUGGACAUAUAUGAUCUGCCACUUGUUAUUCAGUUUCGGGAUGACUUAAACGAAACUAGAAUGCCAUGAUGAUAUUUCAAAUUAAUUAUUUGUCGGACAUAAAAAUUUUAAAAUACGUGACAUUGUGUUAUUGAUUCAGGAUGUCAUGAAUGCCUAGUCGUCCAGAUGAGUGUUGGCAAGUUCUCCAUUUUCGGAGGCCACAAGUUCGAGACUUCCACCACUCUAACUAUAAACAGUUGCUAGGGUUAGAAAUAGAAUGAGGAUGUGAUCAAAGGUGGACGCAUAUUGGGAUUUAGGUGGUUACAAGACCAUUUGGAGUUCAUAAAUAUACAUGUGAAGGUCUUCAAACGACCCUUCAAAUGUUUUGUAUCAGUCCGCUUGUACCUAAUAAGUGUUUCAUGUAAUACUUGUUAGGCAUAUCUCGACAUGUUACAUGGACAAUAUUCGACAAAUUUUCUCGAUAUGCCUCAUGAAGUGCUCGAUGAAAUGCCUCAGUGAAUAAACUGAAAUUUAUUUUGUGUGGUUCGUGCUUUGUUUCUAUUUAUAAAAUUUGAACAUUUAACAGUGGGACCACCCAAGAUUCGAAUCCUGAAUCUGCUACUAGAUGCGAUGGGACGCUAAUGCGUACAAUGAGGACAAUAAGUUUUUUCAUAUAACAGUUGUAUUGUAUCGUCAUAUGGUGUUAAUUAAUUCACGUGUAAUCAGUUGCAUGGUUAUUUUAUAGACAGAGUAGACAUACGGAUGUACCAUUGUAUCAUUCUUAUCGAUAUUCUAUGUCACCGACGAUCGACGAGAAGGGAGACUGGAAUUUCCAUGGCGCGUGAUCAUAUCUCCUCGCGCACAUAGCGGCAGGUGAAACGCCGCUUUUAGCACAUGUCUUGGACCACCUUCUUAAUUUUCGAUGCUGAUACUCAUGACUGGGAGACUAAGAGAGCUGCUCAAUAUAUACGGCAUGCGUCCUCUCUCUCUCCUCUGCUUUUCUGACAUUGAAGGCUCUGACUACAUGACACCAUGCCACUUCAUGCAUGCAUGGUGAAAGCCUUCAUUUUAAUCAUGCAACUCCCUACCUCACUUCUCCUCCUCCAAUCCGCAUGCCGGAUUUUCAUUGAGGUCAAGUGUUUUAUGAUUUUCGUCACCGUAACAAUAUUUUACAUAUUCUUUAGCCUUACUUUUUACCCAUGAGAUACUUUAUUUGUAUAUCUUUGCAGGGAUUCGUGAAGGGGACUUGAUUUGGCGUCUACUUUUUGGGUUUGGAGUUUGGUUUCCUUUGAGGAUGUGGUGGCGGCGGCAACCUGGUUAAUGCUGCUCAAGAUUAGGAAUUUUUUGUUGUUUGUUUUUUCAGCAUUCGGGCCUAAGUUUAUGUGCACCUCCCAAAACAAAUUAAAACAAUCAUUUGUAGUGAAGACAAUGAAAGAAUACGGUUCUACAAAAAACCUUAAACUCUUAAUCUAACUAUUAUAUAAUUUCAGAUUUGGGUGAUUUUUGGUAGAACCUAAAAGAUAGACGGUUCAAAUCGUUGAAAUAAAGUGGGCCCCACAAAAAUUAUGUCAAAAAUUGUAUAAAAUAGUGGUGCAACGAAUUCAUUCCAAAUGUAUAAUUUAAUUUCUAAAACGUGGGCUAAAACUUACUAUCAACUAAUUCGAGAUCGAUUGAAUUUUAUGUUUUACUCAUAUUAAGUUGCAGUUAACCGCAUUUGUAGACACUAUAACAGAGUAAACUGCCAAUUUACCCCUUGAACUAUCACCCAACUUUCGAUUUCCCUCCUGAACUUUUUAAUUGGAAAAUUAAGGACUUAAUCUAAUUUUUUUUUGCCGAUUUGCCCCCUACCGUUAGUUUUUCAUAGAUUUCAUCCAAAUUAACGUUAACUUUUAUCAUGAGCAAACCACGUAACUCUCCUUUGUGUACAAAAGCAUCACUUCACUAGACCUUCAGACAUAAAAGCUAUAUAUUCACACAUAUUUGCAUAGGUUUAUAUUUUAUAAAUCUAAGGUUUUCAAUUAUUUUAAAGAAUGAAACGACCGAACUACCCACACAUGUUGUGCACAUGCUUCCAUUUAACAAAAUUUUGGAUGGAAUGAAUGAAAAAUUAACAGCAAGGGCAAAUCGGCCAAAAAGAUUAGUUUAAGUCCUUAAUUUUUCAAUUAAAAAGUUCAGGGGAGAAAUCAAAAGUUGGGUGAUAAUUCAAGGGGCAAAUCGGCAGUUUACGCCACUAUAAUAUGAUAUAUCAACACCAUUUUGACCAUUGUACCCUUUCAAUAUCGGCGGCAUCAACAAUAGAGUGGUUAAUAUAUUUGUAAUAUAUUAUAUUAGGGAUCUUCUUAAGUUAGGGUAACUUUAUUCACCGGUGCUUUCUAGGGUUUUUUUUUUGGCUUUAAAGGGACAUUUAUGUCAAAGUUCAAACAGAAAGCAACUGCCAUGGCCCACCACCCAACAAAAAGAGAGGGGCACGGGUCACUGGUCACCGGUCACUGCGUUACUUGAUUAGCAGUUAAUUGACUAGUUAGUACGUUCCUCUCUGAAUCUCAAAACGAAUUUAUAUGAUGCAUAUGCAUGGAAAUACUAGCUAGGUAGGCAAACAUAAAUUAAUCAUUUCGCACGGGUAAUUGGCACUUUACGCCAGUCGGCCGGUAAGAAAGCUUUACGUAAUUGCCGGAAAAAGACGAAAGAUGUUAAAACUGUCCCACAUCGGUGGGGUGAAGAAAACCAAAGGGGUUUAAAUAGUAUUACCCCACUCUAACUAAUACCGAGGCCUUUUGUGGUAAAACCCCACACCUGAGGAUUGUGCAGGUGGUUAAGUGGGGACAAUAUCGGUGUCGUUAGAGUGGGGCGGGCCCAGCGAUCCAAAAAUUCCAACAUGGUAUCAGAGCCCACGGUUGCGGGCCCGUGCAAGCCAACGAGCUUGUCACCACCCGGAAGGAAACAAGUCUGAGCUCUUAAUAUAGAGACGACCGCUGAGUUCCAAUUGAAAACAAGUGGGCCCAACGUCAGCCGACCUCUGAGUUUCAAUCACCGAUGUGGAUCUCCACGUGUGAACCACUAAAUGAGGUUACACGCGAGGGGGAGUGUUAAAACUGUCCCACAUCGGUGGGGUGAGGAUUGUGCAGGUGGUUAAGUGGGGACAAUAUCGGUGUCGUUAGAGUGGGGCGGGCCCAGCGAUCCAAAAAUUCCAACAAAAGAAAGAUAAACAAAGGUGAAGAGGAAGAGUGAAAAAAGCAAUGUCGGCUAAAGCAAGACGUACGCAAACUCAGCGGACAACUAUACAACUAGGGCAAUUCACAAGUCCCCCGAAAAACCAAUAGGUUUCAAGGUUCAAAUCGACAAACUACAUUUCCUAAUUCAUUUAUAAACCUAUCGAAAAGGAUUACGAAACAAAUUCAAAACGGUCGAUGCAUGAUAGACACGUACAGAUAUCAUACACACACACACACACACACACACACACACAGAUAUAGAAGCUUUUGAUUGAGGGAUUUCUGUUUAGGUUUCUCUCCUGGAGCCAUGCUUUCUAUCUCUGCAAUGGUGAUCCAAUGCAUGCGCUUGGGUCUCUCGACUCCAUCUGCCUAUUGUUUCUUCUGUGAGUUUCUCCUGUUUUCUAUCGUCUCUACUUGCGGAAUUGGCCUGCCCCACUUGAUGGUCCUACGAAUCUUGUCUCACACCCCAUAUAUAUAUAUCAUUGCAGAAAGUUAAUAUGAAAAUAUAUUAUCAGAUCUCAGCAAUUAGUUAAUCAAAUAUAGCAAUUAACGUUGUGAAUGAAUUUCCUUAGGAUGUUCAAUUAUAUGUAUAAAAAGGAAAGAGUCUAAGUCAAGAGGUACAUUCUGUUAAUUACAUACAGAGCUUAAUAUAUACUAGUUAAGAAGCUGAAGAUACCACGUGCACCUGCUAGUUAAGCCUGCAAUAUAUCCGCAUGCAUGCGUGGCCUGCAGAGACGUUAACCAAGCUUUAACAAUAUUAAUGCUACAUAUAUAUCCCACCUAUACAACAAAGAUUUGCGUUAAUUAAGUAGGUACUAUCUACUAAUUAAACCAUGAUUAGAAUCAACGAAAAUGCGACUUGCAUAUCUCAUGGACAAUACAGGCUUUUGCGUUUUGCACUGCAGCCAUUAUGAAUGAGAAUUAUACGCGGUUCUUCUUUUGUAAGCUUUUUUCCCUUUUCCUUUCUAAAAUAUUUUGAUUAAUCCCAAAUUCUCAGUGGACGCAUAUUUUGAUCUAUAUAAAAUAUAUUAAUGCACAUUUUCUACCCCUUAUUUUUAUUUGAGGCAUAUAUCAUGAAUGCAUAAAUUAAUCUUAGUGCAUACCACCUCUUGUACUAUUUGAUAAUCAUUUCAGUUUUUAACUUUUAUAUUUUUGUGAAAACAAAAUACUGGAAACCGUUUGGUAAUUGUUUUUCGUUUUUAGACCAAUUGAAAACUAAAAACCAAAAUGAAGCCAAGUUUUGAAAGCUAAAAGAAGUAGCUUUUUAUGCAUACCCUAGUGCUGGUUCGAUCCCCAUUGCUCCCCCUCCCCUCUAACAACUAACAAUUUAACCAACGCUAUCAUUUGGGAAAGAAAACAAAAAGGAACUUCAGUUUUCUUAAUUGAAAAAUAAUUACUAAACAAGUUUUUCGUUUAAAAAAAUUGAAAAUAUAACUAAACACACAAAAUCAAGUCAAGUUUUGAAAAAUGAACUUUAAAACAAAAUUAAUGUAAAAAACAUCUCGUUAAUUUUUCAUCUCACAUGCGUGAUAAUUUGACAUCCACUUUAAUAUUUUUUUUCUAAAAAAAUAUUUUGAGAAAUGAAUUUUUGCCGCCAGAGUUUGUAUAAUGUCGGAGGUUUCCAAGAAUAACAGUUAUAACUUUCGCAUGAGCAGAUAUGGAUUGCAAAUAUGCAGAUGAUGAAAUUAAUCCAAAUCCCCACAAGCAAAAAAAAAAAGUAAAAUGAAUUAUCACGUCUUAGAGCUUCCUUUAACUUGCUUUGGCUGAAAGAGAAAUUAAAGUUGGCAUGCAAUAAUCAAAAGAUAAGAUAUAGUCAACAACCUAGCAACCUAGCACAAGAUCCCAAGCGUAGCAGAUAAGUUCGUAGCCAAUAAGAAGUACAUGAUGUUGAUAGUGGUGCAUAAAAAGCCACAAGGAAACAAUUAGAUACACAAAAUUAUAUAUACUAGUCAUAUAGAAUAAGAACCACUCAAUUAUAAUUCACGCUUGUGUUUUUUAAUUAAAAAGGAAAACACCUCUACUUUAAUUAAUUCCACAGAUUUCAGAAGAUUUCGGAAUUAAGAAGCUACAUUCUUCCAAUCAUGCGCCUAAAGUAACUUCUCCAGAAAUCGAAAUUAUUAUAUAAUUAAGUUGCUAUAAUUCUUAGUCUUCAUCAUCCUUUCAACUUCUAGGGUUUUCAAACCAACAGUACUAUUGCCUACAUUCUGGUGAUUAAUAUAUAUCUGCGUGUGUUCAACCUAAUAAGCUAGCUAGAUGAUUGUUAAGAAGUAAGUACAAACGUCAGGUUAUGAACUUUUAUCGUAAGAGAGCAACCUCCACGAGUACACUGCUAUCAUAAUGUCUCAUGUUAUGAAAGUUAUUCUCCUAGGCAUUAUAAAUUGGAUAAUACUAUCCACAUAUUUAUUUUUACUUCUCACUCACCUCUCUCAAUUUCCGGCCGGUGAAUCGAAUAAAUUGAAACAGAUCAAUGGCAAAAGAUUAACAAGAGUGUGUGAGAGGUAAAAAUAAAUGUGUGUGAAUAACAUUAUCCUAUAACUAGAAAGUACCAUCUUCAUUAUAUACAUUAAAUAGUUAAAUAAUUCAAGUGAAGUUUUGGUGUAUUAUUACCCUUUUACUCCAGUCGUUAUCGAUUUCGCAUUCCGGGAGGUACAAUGUCUCCAAGAAGCCCUUCAUCGGUAGGAAGAGGUGGGGUUGGCUGAGGAUCAAUGAAGUGGGAUGAUCCUCCUGCAGCUUGAUCAUCGUCAUGACGUCGGACUACUGCUUGGUGCGACGCCGUUGGGGUCAAAUUAAUAGGACUAGUUAUUUCUCUGGGUCGAAUUGUUGGAUAAUACAUGAAGUGUGAGGCUGGAGACAGCUGAGCCAACUGGUGACCUGCAAAGCCAGAUUCAUGACCAAUGACUCCCCCACGAGGGAAUGCAACGGUAUGAUGACAGUGUUGGCCUUCAUAUGUGGUAAUUACAGUUGUGGGAUCUUCAGAGGAACGCUCAACUCGUUUCUUCACUGUGCAUUUGGUAUUUGUGCAGCGAUAAUAGCUCCUGCAAAUUAAACAGCAAAAGAUUGAGUGUGAGAUUCUGCAUAUAAAAAUUGUAAUGCAUGUAAUCUGGUGAUUAAUAUCUGCAUAUCUAAUAAACUAAUGAUUGUUGGUUUGCAAAAUAAACAGCAAAAGAUUCAGUGUCAGAUUGUGCAAGAUGAUGCAUAUACAUUUAACUGUUAGAAUAUUCUUUUGUUCCAAUAAUUCAUAACCACUUUGAAGUUGUUUAAUCCCAAAUUUGUAAACUCUGUCCCUCUACUCAGUUCACAAUCUUUAGAUUAAAAGUUAGUUUUUUUAGUGUAGGUAGACAGUGGCACGCUCGCAAUCUGUACAAUCUCUAGGUCUAUUUUUGAGGCUUGGAAAUUUAGGGUAAAAAAAAAAUAAAGCUAUCAGUUAUAAGAAAUUAAGAAAAAUAUUUCCAUAUUUAGAUGACAAGGAUAACAGUCUCAAAAUGAAAAUAUAUAGCAAGUACCAACAUUUUAGUGGAGAUGGUAAUUAAAUGGUUGCAGACCUUGGAAAUGGACUAUUUUUAACAGCCUUCUGACCAUAUUUCCUCCAUCGGUAGCCAUCCUCCAGAUGAUCAACUUCACUCUUUGUCACGAAUGCGAAUCGUUGCUGCCGGAUUCUCUUCGGCCCCUUCUUUUUAACCUUACUCCUACAAAAUAUUUUACCUACAAUUAUCACAACAAAAACAAUAUCUUGAAAAAUCCAAAGAAAAAAAAAACCCAAAAGAUAAGUGAAUUAUAUGUCAUAUAUUACAAAUUAAACGGAAAUGCCAUAUAAAAGUACCACGUAUAUAUUCAUGCAUGGUUAGUUUCUAAUGUGAUCCACCUAAAACAUAAUGUAUAUAAUUAUUGACAUCAUUCCACAUGGUCGCUCAGAAGAUAUUGACAUAUGUCAACACUAGUGUGGUAUAUCAUGCAUUAUGUUUUACCUUAAACUUAAACUUAAGCCGUUAGGGAAUAAACCUGUAAUUCGUAUCAAAGUAAAUUAAAUUCCAAUUCCAAACAAUAGCAAGGGGUUCAACAUAGUCGGUAGUCGGCAACUAAAAGUGAGGUGGUGCAUGUAAUUAUAAGCCACCAUUAUUAGGAAGAAAUCCAAAAAUAUGGACCACAAAUUAAAGAAGAAUCCCAUGGCAGCAAUAUCAUCAUCGCCCAACUCUCUCUUUAUUAUGGUAAUGCAAAUGCUACUUAGAGACAAAUAUGUCACAUGCAUCAUCCAUCACUUACUCACGCCAAUAUUUGCAGUGGCGUUCGAUGAUUCAUACAGCUGACCCCACUUGACGAGAUAAAAUUUUGUUAUUGUUUGUAAAAAAUAAAAUAAAAAACCCUACAGCAAGAGCUAGCAUAUAAUUACAUUAUUGUUCCUAACUAAACCUAAAUCAUUUAAAAACAAGCAUAUAUAAUAAAUUAAACUCGCUUUAUUUCCACCAUAUUCUCACUCUUUUUUCCCUCUUUACCAAAAAGUGUGAAUUUUGGCACGCCAUUUCCUGCCGUUAAAUUUGCUUUGCCACGCCCUAAUUCUCUGUGGAAUUACAAAAAUGCCACCCCAACUUGCAUGAACUCUGUGUGUGGGUGCAGCUCUAAUAGUUUCUCACUUUCUAAAGCGUACGGACGGAGACCCCAAUUGCAGAUUUUGCAAACCCGUUCUGAUAUUUUUCAUUUUUAUCCAUUUAAUUAUUUAUUUUGUAAAAAGAUCCCUGCCUCAGUUGUAGCCCACGAAAAGCAAGUUAAUUACGCAAUAAGCCAUUAUUAAUCAAUAUUACUCAAUCAUGGAAACCCAACUCACUGUAUCUCGGGCGGUGGUUUGCCGCCGGAGCCUGCAGACCUCUCGGGAGGAUCCUCGCUGGAGCUCGUAGACGCGGACUGAUUGGUCGAAGCGGAUCCGACAACCGGGGCCAGGUCGGAGCUCCGAAAGGCGGGGCUGCUACUGCUGCUGCUGUUCUCCAAAACAAGAGGACUACUGCUAGUAUUUCCCGCCAAAUCGGACAUGUCGUCGGCGGCGGCGAUGGGGUCGAGGCAGGGGAAGACUUCAUCGGGUUUGGAGGCGACCGGGUUGAAGUUCCAGCCGAAGUCGCUGAGUAUGUUGCUGUCUCUGUCGUGGGUGGUACUGAAGAAGUAGACGCUGUCGGAGUCCGGAGUCCAGGUGGACUGAGUCGUGAACUCGGUCGUGGUUAGUGGAUCGCGUUUUUUGUUGUUUUCGUCCAUGAGAAUAGAUCAGGACGAUCCGCCGUGGACUGGUGGAUUGGAAUCGUCCGUGAGAAUUGAGCAUGAAUUAGAAGGAGGUGAGGAGAGAGAAGAGAAAAUUAGGGUUUUGGUGAGUGAGUGUUGGAAAGGACGCGUUGCUUUUAGAACUUUAUGAAGGGGGGAUGGAAAGCUUAGUCUCGUCAUGCACAGUUGCAAUAUAUGGAGAGAGGGAGGGAGGUGGAAUGAAUUAGAAAAAAGGAAUCAAAUGGAGAAGAAAGGAAGGGGCCGGGGAGAACAGAGAAAAGAUAGAAAAGUCGCCGUCAACCUUUCAAGUAUGUGCCCGGAACGUCUUAUAUCAUGAGUAAAAAAAAAUUCUCCGCUUAAUAAUAUAUGGUUUACCGUCUUAUGUUUCGAACACUUAAAAAAUCUCUCCAAUAUAGUACUGGAGUCUCAUAUUUAAGCAAAGCAAGGUGGGAAUGGGGCAACUAGCCCCUCAUCCGUCUACAUAAAAAUAACGAUGGUUUUGUAUUGAAGAGUGGUCAUUCUUGCAUUGUUAGAAUUUUCUCUUAAUGUUGUUUGUAUCUAGAAAUGAAGACAAAACUCAUGUCUACUUAUUGAGUGCACCUCAUUGUCCACUCAUUUGUAAAUUUUAUAUUGUUAUUAGUAUAAUAUUAUACAUUUUAUAACCAAAAGCGUUCAUUUAAAAAUUAUCUUUUGUAAAAAACCAAUAAAAAUAGGGAACUUUAACGAAAAGCACAUGGUACUGUUCACUUUAACGAAAAACCAUAUUUUUACACUAAAAAGUCAAUCCUGGUACUAUUCACUUUACCCUUUAUUUUGUCCUUAUCAUUAAAACUCAAAGUUUUCAAGCCCUUUUCAUUAGUUUUCCUAUAAAAAUAUCAUUUAAACAUCCUUAUGUAUGGAACAAUUUGACAGUUUUGAUACUUCAAUCCUUAUUAGUACAUAUGAAUGACCAAAAACUUUUUAGUUCAGUUGAUUUUUGGCACAUGAACUUUAAAUAGUUAUUCACAAAUUAAAGAAUUUUGAUUAUGACAUUAACCAAUAAAAAUAUGUUAAUUACAAUGAGAUGGAUGGGUUUAUACAAGUAAGUAAUAUAUUUUCCUUUUAUUCUUUAUAUUUAUGUCAUUUGGAUACGGAAUGCAUCAUGUACAUUAUUCCAUGGGUUGGAUGUGGAGUAACUUAAUUGAUGAAUAGUAGCAUGGUACUAUGUGAAUGCCAUCCCUUUAUGUCUAUAUAUAUACGGUUUCUAGGUCAAAAUAGUGUUUGAAAUUGGCAUAACUUCUUACUUUGAUCAUUGAGAUUGAAAAUCAAUAUAAGUGGUUACUAAAUUUGUUCAUCGCCAAUAUUAUUUUGGUCAUUCCGUGAAAAAUCUCCAUUAAAUUGAGAGUAUUUUUAUCCAAUCAACCCCUCCACUUGCAUUCCAUUUAACGGAGAUUUUUCAUGAAAAAAUUAAAAUGAUUGACAGUAGACAAACUUAAGAACCACUUCUAUCACUUUUCAAUGUCAAGAAUCAAAGCAAAGAGUUAUACUAAUUUCAUGAACUAUUUUAGCUAAAAAUCUUAUAUAUUUUGAAGACACGUCACGUGGCCCGUCAUGUGGAUGUGAAGGAUUUUCGUCAUUUUAUUUUCAAGUUUGGUAGAAUCCCAAACUCAUCUUUUUCAAUAUGUGUUUUUAAUUAACGAUGUUGAUUGAUGGCAUAUGGAUGCAUGAUGGUGAAGACAUAUAUGUACAUAUAUAUUGUACGACUGUUGUAAUGAGUUGUCCAAUUCCCCAAUACGCAACAUUCAUGGCUCUACUUAAUUAACCAUGUUGCUUGAGUUGUAACAUCACCUAUUCAUACCAAUAAUUGAGAUAACAUUAACACGUAUAACAUAAAAUAAAAUCCAUCUACGGUACGAUUAAGUUUUGAUUCGUUUAUUCUCUUCUUUGUGGCUUUUGUUGGAAAUUUGAGUAGUUUGAGUAGAAAUUUCCUUGUCCCACAUUGGCCAUUCCCAAAAGAUUUUAUCACUUUAUAAGGUUUUGUCCUUUAAAGAAAGUGAUUGGAGUAAUAGGCCUGGAGACUAAAAUUGGGCUCACCCUUGGGGUUGGGCUUUGGGGUGUAUUAAUUAUUUGGUAAUUAAUAUAUAAUUAAUUAUAAUUAAUAUAUAAUUAAUAUAUAUUUAAUUGUCAAAAGAUGGGCCUUGCUCUUGGGCUCUAAUAAUUAAAUUAUUUAAUUAAUUAUUUUUCGGAUUUACUUAAUUAUUUUUUAAUUAAAUUCGAAUUAAUUAAUUUAUUUUUUUAUGAAAAGACUCAUCCUUUCAGAUGAAGUCUGAGAGUUCUUUCUGAACACAGAGCAAAGCACCCUCUGAAGAGAUGUCUCCCAACAGUCACACCCCAUUCUCAUACCUGUUGCAAACAGGCAUCCAUCUGCUAUAUAUACAUCCAUCUGCAUAUCAUUUAAAACACAGAAAAUAAUCAACUUCAUCUUCUACAUUCCUAAACCUUCUUACUGAGAGAACCACACUAAAUUCGCCAAAAGUUAAAUUUUCCGAUGCUGGAAUUUUAACUUGAUCGUUAAAUCCUGGUGAAGCAGACGUCCGUAGAACUACAAGCACAGAGUAGGGACGAAAUUUCUGUUUCAAGGACAUUGCGGUACGCAAGCCUCGAUCUUCAAGUUGUCUGUUUUAUAAUUCAUAUUCUAGUUUAUAUUCUGUUAGUUUCUAUUGCAUUUAUUAUUUAUUAGCAUAUAUAAUUUAUCACAGAUUGUUGACUUAUAUCCAACAGCUUUUUCUAUGAUAUAUUUAACAAAUUAUGAAGUUUGUCAUGCAAAGUAUGAAGCUCAAUACACAAAGGCAUGACUAUAAGUUAAUUAAAGAAAUUAAUUCUAUAUUUGUUUAUAGAGAACAAGUUUUUUUUCCUCAUUAGUCUAUAUAUAUAUAUAUCAAGGUAACUCUCUGUUAAUCAAAGAGGAUAAAAUAACUAAUCACUACGGGUAGUCUAGCAGGUGAAGAUAAAUUUCAAGUCUGUAUUCUACAUAGAACGUCCUGGGUUCGAUUCUAUGUUAGUUUUUCCAGCUUCUAAAAGAAUAGACUAUAGUAGCGAAGCCACUAACCUUUUUUUUUUUUUUUUUUUUUGGUUUCCAAAGAAGAUAAAAUAACUAUUUGACAAGGAGGAUAAAAUAUAACUUGAAAACUAAGGGUGGGAUAGCAAUUUUGAUCUACCCACUUCCUCUAUCCCACACCCUAAUUUUUUAUCUCCUCAUUUCUCCAUACUCUCAUGCAGUAAUAAACUCACAUACUACACUUAAAAAAAAACUCACAUACUACAGUUUUUUUAUAGAGUAAAAUCGUCAUAAUUAUACGCAUAGAUAUGCAUUACGUGGGUAAAUGAUACACAAUGAUUAGAUUAGAGUGAUGAAGUAUUGCUAUCAUCUUCAUGAACCUUAUUUAAUUAAAAUUAAAACCAAUAAUCAUAUAUCAAAAUGUGUUGAAAAUAGACGAGUGUGGUUCACUUGUCAAAUUAAGUUUGAACAAUGUAUGCUUUACCAAACUUAGAGCAUACGCAUAAUAAAGUUCAUCUCCUUUUACCUUAUUUUCUUUGUCGUUUUUUCUACUUUUUACAAUAAUAAAUCACAUAUGCUUAUCUGAAAUGACUUAAUUUUCCCCAAAAACAAUAGCAGUAACUUAGAAGAGCAUCUUUAAAAGAAGCUCUAAAUUUUUGUUAAACUAGUAAGUAAACAGAGUUAAAAACUAUUUUAUUUACUCAAUUUAACUUUUCAUAUCUGACAACACUUUCUAUUCUAACAAGCUUUGAAUAUUUUAUUAUUAACAAUUCAAACUCAAUUCACUCAUUUUCUAAAACAGUUUUUAUACUCUUCAUUUUCUCCUUACUCAGGAGUCCACUCUUGAGUUUUAUUAUUCUUUAAUAUUUAACUUAUGAACAAUUGCUUUGUAAAUUUAACAAGUGACUAUUCAUUUUAAUGUCAUAGAAACUCUUUUACCAAGCUUGUUAGAGAUGUAUUUUUUUUUUUCUAAAUUCAACUCUUAGAAUAAAAUUUUGGUUGUUUUACCGCAUCUAUUGGAGAUGCUCCAAGUAGCAGCCGCGUACCCUAAAUUUGACAGAUUUAAAACUUUUUUCAGUCGAUGAAUACAAUUAGUUUUGAUUUGGAAGGCAUAGCUAUUGGUUAAGCCUAGAGGUUAAACAUGUGGUCCAAACAAAUCAUGGUCCAUAUCAAAAACCUUUGACGUGGAGGUGUUAUGUCCUCCCAUACCAAACGCAAUAAUCACACUGUUAUCCUUAAUAAAAUCACUCUUAUUUAUUAUGGAGGAUAAUAUUGUUACUCAAAUUUAAUUCUAUUUCCUCAAUUACUUAAUCAUCCAAAGGCCAAAGCUUUUGAGAGGGAGGGAGAGAGAGAUUGAUACCUAAAUCUUUUUAAUUGAUAUAAAAACUGCUUGAGCCUCAAGCAAGCACAUCGUUUCAACCAAAAUUCAUAAUAUAAAAUAAUAAAUAGACCUUUUAUUGUUAAAGAGAAACCGUUGCCUGCUUCAGGUUGUAUUUCAGGGCAUUUUAUAUUUUGGUAUAUCUAAUUGUCAAAAUCCUUUGUCAAGAACUGCUAACUUUGAAAAUUAUUGAGUAUAGAAUACUUCGGAACGUUAUAAUAUUUUUAUUCUUUUGAGCAAUUGAUGAUUAACAAGAUUUAUUUGUGAGUGAAAGAAAAAUUUACAUAAAAUAAAUUUAUUGUCACGUUCAUUUUAUGUAAAUUGAUUUCUCAUGAUACAGUAGGAAUGCACUAUGCAUUUUGUUAGAAGGAUGAAUGUCAGGACUGGGGACCCCGGAGACCCACAAGUCAUUUCACAAGAUUUAUGGAGAUAACAAUUGGGUACGUGGGGCAAUUGGAUCGAUGGUUACCAUCAACCCUACGAAAGCUUCGAAAUUUUUUUGAAUCGUCCACUUGUGGGUUUGUUGGACUCCAUAUAAUCGCCUGCCGUAAAACAUUAGGGUUCCUCCUAGAAGUGGGUUGACUCAAAACUCGGGUUUUUUACACAUUCCGCAGGCUAGGUCAAUUAGCAAGAUCAUAGAACACAUAACUUGAUGAUUAGAUUUCUUGUUUAAAUUAUUAAAGAUGAUAUUCAAUCAUCAACCGUUACAUUCUAUGAUCUACAAAAUAUCGCAUGAAGUAUUAUCAGUAACAUUUUACUUAUUGUUCAUCUUGUUGUCAUUAAAGUUUGACACUUAGCACUAAAGUUUAGUGCUACUCUAUUUAUAAGUUGGAAGUCCUCGAUUCGACUUUCAUUGAUAAUGAGUUUGACACCAAAUUAUUGUAGCUAAUUUAUCAUGUGCUGAGCAAAAAUUCUCUACUCCUAAGUGUAAAUUGGUAGUUGUAUUAAAAAAGAAAUUUUUGUGAAGUUUAACUUGAAAAUUUACCUAAAAAUAUUUAGAAAUUCAGAGGGAAUAUCUGCGUUAUGAUUUCAUGGUUGAAUUAAAAAAUAAAUAAAAUAAAUAAAAAGUAGGGGUCUAACCUCCAUAUCCAAAAUUUGCAAUGUCUCAUCUCGAGUGGUUGCGGUUUCAUCGUCGUCAUAAAGUUGAGAACAGUACCCCUCACAGUCCCUUAUUUUGGCUCCACCGGCCGGUUCUAUUAUUUUAUCAUAUUACAAAUCUCAGAUCAAUUAUUAUCUGCCUAAAUUAAUAUUAAUUCUUUUUAUGAAUUAAUUAAAUAGAAGGUAACAAAUCUUUGAAUCGUUGGUUCUCUAUGGGUGCGUUUGGUACGCAGACGGGACGGGACAGGACGGAACGAAUGUGUAAUUUUUGAAAAAGACAUGGGGUAUAUUUGUCUUAAAAUAGUAAAACAUUGUGUUCCACAGACGUGGAACAAACCCGUUCCAGAGGGGGGAGGUGGAACGCAAAAACACCAAAAAUGUUCCACCCAUUUUUGGCGCACCAAACGCGGGACGGAACGCCUCGUCCCGUUCCGUCCCGUCCCGUCCCACGUACCAAACGCACCCUAUAUGAUGUCUGUAGCAUAUAGGGCGGGAUGGGUCCAAGCUAACAAGAUCCCCGGCACAACUGAUGGAGAAAGCUUCUUGCUCAAACCUACCCUAAAAAGGGUUAAAUCUUCUAUAUUUUAAUCUCAUCCGAUUCCACGCAAACAUCGAUUCAACUUGAGAGCUUCCUUAGUAAACAGUAAGGUUGUCAUAUCGAUGAUUUGCUCCUACCCAGGACCCGGAAAGCUAUUCAAGUUGCAUGCGUGUGCACUUGAUUACGUUGCAUUUUGUUAAACUUUGAAUAAAAGAAACGAUUGACUCGCUAAAAGCCUACAUGAAUACUUCAAAAGUCCAGAAUCACCUCCAACCUUUAGAUAAAGUAACAUCACAAAUUCAGAAUUCACCAAACAAAACACCAAAAUCCAGCUCAAUCUAUACAAAAUACAUCAUAUGACGGAUGGAUUUUUAUAUAUUUUUUCGGUACAAGUAAUAUAUUAAUUGAAACAAACAAGAUAUAUACCACGUUUCUUGGAUUUGGAACUUUGUCUUGAUUUAUUUUAGUCAUUGUCAUGCAUGACUCAUAACCUACGCCAAUAACGCGCCUUUUUUUUUAUCAUGUAUUAAUCUGCAAGCCAGUAUGUCAUGUAUAAAUGAUAUAAUAUGCAUCAUUUUACGGUUUUAAACAGUUUAGAUUAAACAUUAAAAAAGUUAAACGGAUGGAUUAGAUAAUUCAGGUGGGAAUUGGAUCCCAUUUGGAUCCACUUUGUGGGGAUCCUAGGGAUCUAGACAUCUUAGUUAUUUAUCUUAUAUUGUGCGAUCAGAAAUCAUUUGACUUUUUUUUUUUUUAAAAUUAAACACAAAUAGUAUCUGACGAAAACUAGCAACAUAAUAUACGAUGAACGGUUAGGAUGUAAGGAUCCCUAAGUUCCUCACAAAGUGGAUCCGAAGGUGAUCAUCUUCCAUUCAGGUGCACCAUAAUUAGCAUAAUCUUCUUAUUAUAAUAGUAUGGAAUAUAAAUUUAAAAGGUACCAAUCAAAUCGUUAUGAGAUUAAUGUAUGCAAAUCAUGAUUUCAUGAGGCUCAAUAUAUAUCAUUUUCAUAAUCUCCAAAGGAUCUGCAUCUGUAUUCUCUGCAGCACUAGCACUGCCCAAAUUAAUGUGAUUAAGACCAACUUUUUCUCUUUUUUUUUUCUUUUUUUUUUUUAAAUUUUCAAACAAAGAACGAUUUGGGUUCCGAUCGACUAAACAGAAACAUAACGUUUGGAAGUUCGGCCAAGUACUUCCUGAUGGGUUUUAAUUAUUUUUUUUCGUCGCUGGUGAUCGUUGGUUAAUUAUGUAGGAAAUUAUAUGAUAAAGACUCAAAGUUUUGUUAUCAAAUUUUCAAGGAGCACUUUCCACGAGUUUCUUUCUACUUUUGGUUUACCCUCGCUCUAAAGAAGUUUAUAUUGACUGGGGAGGAAUAUUGUUGUAAGCAAUUUCAUAUUUAUCAGAUAAAUGUAAGCAAUUUCAGAUACAUGUAAGAAAAAGAUCCAGAUCACUUUAUUACAAGCAUAAAUAUUACAUAACAAGCAUAAAUAUCACACAAAGAAUUAGGUCAAGGGCAUUAUCCCAAUAACCAGAAGCAUUGAACCCCAGUAGCGGCAAAUGCCAUGAUUUUAGCUUAAGAAACCAUUUUGUACUGUUCCCUUUGCAAAACCCUAGCACUGAAAGGGACACACACAACCAUUUGGACCAAAAGAUAUAUGUUCUGUGGAAUCUUAACGGCUCACACAAAUAUAUGCAUAUCGGAAGUGAAAUAUACCAAAUAAUAUGUAUAUGCAUGAACCAAAUAUUGCUAGCUAGCUUUCAUGCACAAAUAAUUGUUGGAGAUCGAGUGUCCCCCUUUUUAACUUUAGCUUUAUACAUUAUUUAUAAUAUAUCUUAUAGAAUCAUUUUUUUAUUAAGUGGUGUUGCUUUAUAAUGUAAAUAACUUUGUUUAUGUGCUGUAAUCUAUGAAAGAAAAAAACUUAUCUCAAAUUGAAACUUUUCAUGAACUCUCGAUCAUUUUAUAAUUUGACGUUAAUUCUUAUAUUAACAUUAUAAAAUAUUAUAUUAAAAACAUGAAGUGACAAAGAAUACAUAAAAAAUCUUACUUUUAACAUAAUUUCUUUAAAAUUUCUCUCUUUAAUAUUAAGGAGGGGCCACCUCACAAAAGUUCUUUAUGGCCUUUGCUUUUUUAUUUUCCUUCAAUGUAUGAGUUGAAUUGGCAUUAGAAAGAGCCUGCCGAUUACUUAACCACUUCAAUCACAUCAUACGAUUAAGAGACCCAGACAGAGAAAACAAAAAUGUUUAAACUGUGUAAAAAAUAAAUAUUAAAGAUUUAAAUAUGUAUACAUACAGAUAUGCUAUUGCCUCUCAUUCUGCAGCUUAAUAUUAAAAAACUCACAACUGUAUAAAUGGCUUGAAAAGUCGUGCACUUCAUGAUGUAGCUAGCUAACAAACUAGGGCAGAACAAACACAUUUGUGAACUAUAAUGCUAGGGCAUGCAAGUCCAACUUCAUAGAUGUUUUUCCCGCGUUAAUCAUCUUACAUCAAUGUCACAAUAUGCAUCUGCAAUUUAUGCUUAGGGUUUUUGGAGUAGUUUUUCCUUUCUUUUUUUCUUUCAACUGUGCAUAAGAGCAUGAUAUGCUUCAGAACUUUAUCGUUAAUUUGUUUCUUUGGACUCUUCGACCAACUAGAUGAAGAAAAGAUAUUGGCAUGCACCUAAGCAUUGUAGAAUUUUUAGAUUGGUUAUAGAGAUGGACCAGAUCAAUUUUACAAACUAAGACAUCAGUUGCAGUAGGCCAGUAACCAAGGGCGGAGCCAAUUAAGGCUUAGAAGGGUCAUCUUGACAUGCCUGACCCUGCUAUUCCCAAAUACCAGGGUAGGCACAUGUUGGCCGGCACCCAAAGGUGACGAAGCCAUACUAUAAUGCAUGUGAACCAAUGAAUAUAAAUAAGACAUAUAAAUUUAAAUGUAAUUAAUAUGCAAAUUAGGAACGUGUUCAGAGCAUACAACUAACCCUAGACACUAAAAAGGAAUAACACAAAAUUGAAUGAACAAAGAGAUGGGUUCUACACCGACAGGACUUGAAGAUGCCGAUGUGGGAGUGCCUUGACACUAGGGUUGUACGCCUUGAAUCUAAGUCCUAAGGGGGCACAAAACAAACAUAAGUGGACUAAGUUUAUAUAUAUAUAUAUAUAUAUAUAUAUAUAUAUAUAUAUAUAUAAAAUACUGAAACAAUUAUUCAAUAACGUACUAACCCCCAAAGUUUUAUGAAAACUAAUAGCAUAAUAUGUGAUAGGUUUUCCGAAACCCUAGCAUGCCAUAAAAACUUUCAUAAAACAUAUAUUGUAUAUAGUGUGCUAACAAGUGGUAUCAGUAUCGCCUGAAGACAUACAAAACUCUUCCUUUAUAACAUUUCCUUCACAAGUAUCAAUCACCCGUAGGCUCCUACAGCACCCCACCCGUAGGUCAAUAUAAGUAUCAUCGCCCGUAGGCUCCUACAACACCCAACCCAUAGGUCAAUAUAAGUAUCAUUGCCCGUAGACAGAAUAGUGACCACUAAAUACACACAAAACCUUGAAUAUACUCAUUCCAAACAUUAGUACAUAUAUCUCAAAAUCAUCUUCAUAGCAUAUAGUUAUCUAUCAUACAUACUAUAAAGAAGUGUAAAGAAAACAUGUUCAUAAAUAGUAUAUAGUCAUCCAUCAUAUAUACUACAAAGAACAUAAGUUCGAUAAAAUAUGGUAUUCCAAAAUAUUCGCAGUAAAGCAUGAUAUAUCAUAAGUGUAAAUCUAAUUUACUCAUAAAACAUUUCAAAACGUAACCAUUAAAUCAUGUUUUUCAUGUAAGCAUUUCUACUAUUAAAACAAGCAUUUUAGAAGGGGUCCACUCAUAGAUACUCUGUCGUCGAAAAGCCAUGCAAACUAGCGAAGACGGAAAUGCCACAAUAAAUGCACCUUGCAAGAUGGCUAACUAGCCGUGGUUUGGCCGAAAAUUGCCUUGAAAGUGGCGGAGGUCGCCGGAAACUUUGGUUUCCCAAAUAGUGGGCGGAGUUGGUUGCAAAAUCGGAUCAAAAGUCGUCGGACUCGCCGGAAUAACUGGGUUCCUCUAGUCCCGAGUUACGUUGUCACUAAAAAAUGGUGGUUCCAUCGAUGCCAAGUGUUUUGAUGAGGGUGUGGUCACCCGUUGUAGGUGUGUAAUGGGUGUGUACUGGUCCUUGGGGAAGAGAGAGGGCUAAGGGAUCCGAGAGAGAGAGAGAGAGCACGGGAAAGUUGAGAGAGAGAGAGAGAGAAGAGUAGGCCGAGGGGACAAAAUCCAAAGGUGGGACCCUUGGGCAGACCUAUUAAGGCCCUAAAAACAAUAUUUUAAACCAAAUAUCCCACAACCCAAAAGAAUUUACCAAAAAUACCCUUCUGUUCUGUAAAAUUCGGGACGGAUUGUCACACAUCUUUUGCAUCAUUGUGGCAUUGUAGUGUUUCUCCUCAUAUUUUGCUAUGUUUGUUUUGCUUUGACCCUUCUCGCCCUGGUAAUUAUUGAAUUCCUUACUAAUGUUGUUUGGCUUUUAGUUAAAGUAGGUCAUAUACAUAUAAUAAUUUUGGGAAUGAUAAUUAUCCGUCUACUACAUAGAAAUUUAUUAUAAACAGCUAAUGAGAAAUAGUGAAACACUAAAAAGACAAACAAUAGAGAUACUUCAUAAUUAGAAUGAAUUAGAGAUUAUGUAUUAGUAUUUACGAUAAAUACUGAUUAUGGAUAUGUACUUUCUUUCUAUUUUGAUGAACAAUUAAUGAGUUCAAUUUGUUUAGACUGAUUAUUUUCAACUGAAAAUGAGAGGUUUUAUAUUCGACUCUCAUUAUGUGACUCAAUCAAAUCCCUCCCCUCAUUGUGUAAAUAAAAUAUCAUUGUAUAAAAAAUAGAUCUUAUACUCAUAUAAAAUUUGACCCUCGUAACAAAAUCUCUGACUCCGCCACUAGUAACCAUUGCAUUAUUAAAGUAGGAGCAAUACUAUAGUUUUUCUCUAUUUAAAGGUGGUGGUGUGUUGUUGGCCUAGGAACUCUAGGUGAUAGGUUAAUUUAUCAUUUGCGUGACAAGGACAAAGAAAUCGAAUGAGUUCCAAAACAACUUUUAUUAAAAGAAUCAUAUUCCAAUCGAGGCGUUUUUCAUAAAUUAUGUUAUCUCACAUUGUUAGGCGGCCAGUUCCAAAUUCCAAUCCACUUUAAAUGGUGAAGACAUUUCUCCUUAGGAAUCUCAUCGAUGGGGAUCCUCCCAACAACUAAAAAAAAUAUGGUUAAUGGAGAAAAUGGCAAGCUAGUUAACUUUUGAGUUUUGAACUUUAGUUGAAAAUAGUAAGCUAAUUAUUAACUCGGGCAAAUUAAACCAAUUUAUUGGUAAAAGAGUUCCUUUAGAAAGGUAAUUUUAAAGGUGCAUGGGAAAGAGAGGGAAUACCUUUUAAAUUAAGUUGAAGGAGGAGGACCCUAAACUAGGAUUCGGAAUAUUGUGCUUUGAGUUGGAUUCAAAAGUGAUUGCCUUCCUCAAAAAUGGCACUUGAUAGGGCCAUUAUUCUUUUUUAAAGGAGCUAGGGUUAAGAGGAACAUUAUCUUCACAAUGAGAGAGAGCUACCUCACUAUAUAUAUAUAUAUAUAUAAGCGUUAACCAAUUAAUAUAUUAAUGUGACGCUAAUUGCUGAUCUGAAUUUGCUCCACAACCUAGCUAUAUAAAGCUUAGCUAUUUACUUUUCAAUCUACUGUAAAACAACAGGUUCAAUCUUCCAUAUGUCCCUCGCGUAUUCAUGAAUUGUACGGUCACUGCUGAACUUGUACGAACCAGCUGUGUUCAAAAUCGACUUCCUCGUCCAUCUCUGCACCAUGUUCGUGUACAUUUACAAGGAAGUUAAUGUUCAACGAGAAAAGAAGCAAUAUGAAUUAAUUGUUCAAAUAAUAUAUACAAUCACCUUUUGGUCUCGAUAUGCUUCAUCAACCUUGUCUUGGCACUCAAGGUAACUAGGGAAGUCCUUGCCAACGAGAAAGUAAUCAGCACGACCAUAACCUUCAUUUCCUUCCAAUGAUCCCAUGAGUUCAUCAUAGUUGUAAGGACCAAACACGCCGGUUCUCACAUAUGCCUUCACUUCUUCGAACCGCGGGUCCGGAACGAACUGCAUUACAUGUUAAUUAGGUCUAAUAGUUUGUUAACUGAGUGAUUAGUAAAAAACUAAUCAUAUAUUCUACCUUUCCUUCAGAUCUUUCUUUCCUUAGCCCGGCAAUUUCAUGAGCAUGUGCACCAAAGAGGAAAAAAUUGUCCUCUCCAACCUCUUCUCUUAUUUCGACAUUUGCCCCAUCUAGGGUUCCAAUUUGUACGCAACCAUUCAUUGCAAAUUUCAUGUUGCUAGUUCCACUCGCCUCCAUUCCAGCAGUGCUGAGAGAGCCACAGAAUUAGUACCAUAUUACCAUUAUUUAUGAUUAUGCGAAGUUUAGAAACGUUUUCAGACAACCAGAAGCACUUUCAUGAACGUUUGACAGAAAAAAGUUUAAAGUACUUGGGUUAUGGUGCUUUCUAUGAGAAGCACCUAUCAAGCGCUUCCUUGAAAAGUGCUUCCAAAUGCACUUGAAUUUUUCUUAAGAACUUUGUUAUGCUUCUAGUAAAAGCGCUUAUGAGCAUAAGUGCUUUCUGUAACAGCAUUCCCAAACAGGCCAGAAGUUUAUGAGACCAAAUGAUAACUUGUAAUUGAAGCAAUUGUGCAGAAAUGAAUCUAGAAACCUGAUAUGCUGGGAGAGCUCACUACCGGGAAUAAGCACUUCAGCAACACUGACAUUGUAGUCAGGAACAAACACAACCUGUGGUUAAAACAUCGAAGACAUAUACACUUCACUCAAAAUUAUUGACAAGAAUGGACAUGGUGAAGCAGCUGAUAAUUUCUAUGAGCCAAAAACAUACCUUCAAAAGGUCACCUAUGUCUCGAUCGUUAUUCACAGUGGCUCCAACAUCUGUGAUAAAUUUCACAAUCCUUUUCGCUUGGAUAUAGGUUGCGAAUGCCUUUCCUCCAAAUAUACACACCCUUGGAACAAACUUUGCUUUUCUUUCCUCAGGACUCAUUUCCUUCAUUUUCUUGUAGCGAUAAAUGAUACCCAGGAUGUUCAAUAGCUGCCGUUUGUAUUCAUGAAUGCGCUUCACCUGAUAUUAUAUAUAAGUUUAGUUGAAAAACAGGACCAGAGGAAACAGGGGAAAUAUUUGUAGGAUCAGAAAUUUACUUGCACAUCAAACAUUGCGUCAGGGUUGACUAGAAAACCAGUUUUUUCCUUGAGGAAGGAUGCAACCUUAAUCUUGUUUCUCCUUUUCGCUUCCCUCCAUUCGGAUUGGAGAUCUUCAUUAUCAGCAAACUGUUAAGAAGUUACACAAUGUGUAAAAGGAGACCAUAUAGAACAAGCAAAAAAUUUCGGUACAUUUGGGUGAUGCAGGUAGUUUGCACAAUGCCGAUACAACUUGCUAUCAUCUUACACAAAAGUGAGAUUUAUAAAUAUCGAAAUUCAUAUAUUGAAGCGAAGAAAAAGACCAGCAGAUAUGUAUUCAAUGACUUGCAGGUUAGCUAGGUAUGACAUCUUACCUUCCGAAGGGUGACCAACAUGUUAGUAUUUCUCACCCAAUCGUCUGUUCCAAUCCAUUUGGUUAUAAUUUUACUCAGACCUGGAUUGCAGAAACGAAUCCAUCUUCUCGGUGUCACCCCAUUUGUCUUGUUUUGAAAUUUCUCAGGCCACAACUGCCAGAGGUAUUAAUAUUAUGUGAAAAACAGUGGACAAAAAAUAUGCACAUACUAAAUGGACGUCAGUAACACUUCCAAGUUUUGUUAUAGGGUUUAUACCUUAUAGAAAUCGUUAAAUACUUCGUUCUUCACUAUUUCGCUGUGAAUCUCAGCAACGCCGUUUACUGCAUGUCCACCAGCAAUGCAUAGAUUAGCCAUUCUCACCGUCUUUGGAAGUUUAGGAUCCGGUUCAAAUGUAACCUCAUUUUUUGUAUUAGUGUCUAGUCCUUUAGAUUGACCUACUUCAUCAGUGGUUUUAGCUUCUUCAUCAGAAAAAUCAACUUCCUCAACGUGAUCAACUGCAGAACUUUCUUCUGAUUUACAGAGAAUUCCAAUGACUGAAUCAGGCAAAUCGAUAUUAUCAAGAAUUCUCAUUUCUCUCAGUUUUUGUUCCAACAAGUUAAGAUCUUCUGUGCCGUACUCAGCAAUAAUGGUAUGAAUUAGCUGGUCAAGAAAUCGAAUAUGUUACAUACUACAGUAGAAAGUAAAGAAUGAAUCUUUUGCUCAUUAAAAGAAUUUUUAUCGCACAACGCUGAAUAUUACCUCCUCAUCAAUCGUUUUUAUGAUCUCAACGUGUCGAGGAAGUAAUUCCUGUAUGAGCUGCAAACUCCAUUUCUCCAAUGCCUCAGGUAACACUGUAUGAUUAGUGUAUGCAACAGUUCUGGCAAGAUAAUCGACGAAUGAAAAAACAUUCGCUUAUAUAUAAUUAUACAUGUAAGGAAAACACUCCAAGUCACACGGAAUGCGCCAACUUGAAGCUAAAUAACUAAUCAAAAUAUCGAGAAGGGAAGUACCUUCGAGUAAUGUCCCAGGCUUCCGUCCAGCUCAAGCCCUUAACGUCCAUCAAUAUCCUUAUCAACUCUGGGAUGCAGAGAGUUGGAUGAGUAUCAUUCAUCUGCACUGCAACCUUCUCAGGAAACUCCUCCCAUUUCACAGACUCCCCCGAUCUUCUCUCAAACCGCGCAACUAUAUCUUGGAGAGAAGCAGAACACAAUGUGUACUGUUGCUUUAACCGAAGUGAUUUUCCCUCCAUGGAUUCAUCCCCAGGGUACAAUAUAUAACAGAUCUAAUGAAGAUGAAAAGAUUAAAGUAACACAACAAUGCAGAUUUGGAAGAAUAAGUGUAACAACUAUGAUGAAAUCAUACAAACCUUUUCGGCAUUCUUUAAAGCUGCAUACGCCUUGGCAUGAUCUCCAGUGUUGAAAGCAUGUAAAUCAAACUCUUCCGGUGCUACUUUUGUGGACCAAAGUCGAAGGUUUAUGGUGGUUUUAGUUUUAUAUCCCGGUAUGGGGACAUCGUAGGCAACCGCCAUGACAUUUUCGCCUCCAAUCCAUGUUUUUUUUCCAUCUAGCCCUGAAACAACUUCGCCGUAGAAUUUCACAGGAUAGCUCACAUCAUUUCUUGGAAUUUCCCACGGAUUUCCCAUCUGAUAAGGGAAAGUGUUCUUAAUGAACAAAAUUCAGUGAAUGACUUUUAACAGAACAGGAAAAAGUAAGUCUCAAUGAUCAAACCUCCAGCCAAUUUUCAGCAACUUCCUCCUGCCCAUCUUUUGUAAUGUGCUGUUUAAAUAAGCCAUACUUGUAUCUGAGUCCGUAUCCCCAUGCCGGGUAAUUUUGAGUGGCCAGGGAGUCCAAAAAGCAGGAAGCAAGCCUCCCCAACCCGCCAUUUCCAAGCGCAGCAUCCGGUUCCUGUCAAUUAACAACACAAAUUUUAGAGACUGCCAAAGUAACCAGACAAUAUUAAGUAAGUCCAUUCGAAGGAAUGCUCAACGGAAAUCGCAGUAAAGUUAAUCUAAUGGUCAGGGCAUCUGACCUGCCUAGCUACAUCCUCUAGAUUGUGCCCUAGCGUUUUCAAGGCAUGUGCAUAAGCCCCCGAAAGCUCCAAGUUACCAAUGGCAUUCAGCAAUGCUCUUCCCUGCAACAAUUUUAAAACAUAACAGAUGAGACCUCCUUAUGCUCAACAAGCAAUGUAUACAAAAUAGAGGUUAUUUUCGGCAUCAGGACAAAAAGAGAAGCUCAUGGCAAACCUGUAGAAACUCCAUUGAGAGAUAAUAUGCCUGCUUUACAUUCAGCCUGUCAUGGUACUCAUAUGUAGCGUUCCAAUUAACAAUGAGCAUGUCACGAACACUUUCAGCGGUACCGUAGAAUGCCUUGGGAAGCGCGAAAGAUUCGAUAGAGAAAGAGGGUGUGAAUUCGGCAUGGUAUUUGAUAUUCGAUGCAAUGAAUGAAGAAUCAGGAGGAAUUGUAGCCAAACUGCCUGAACCAUUUGAUCAAAUCAAAUAACAACUUAAUCAAGUCGAUAUAAAUGAGUGAAUAUAAAGAUUUUUGGACGUGGUAAAUGCCCAAAUUAUUGAAAGUGCUUUAGACAGCAUAGAAAAAGUUGAAUGUGCUUCUGGGUUAGCAAAAUACAUGGAAGAGAGAAUUUCAACUUGCUUUUAAGAAAACGCUUUUGAGCUGAAGUGCUUUCUAGAGAAGCAUUUUUAUACACACAACGAUUGGCCUCCUAGAAAAAAUUCAGUGACAGGACAAUGAAAUCUUCAAAGUGAGAUUGUGAUAAACCACCUUGACUUAAAAUUGAUAUAGCAAAGUAAAUUCCCACCUCAGCUGAGAUGGGUAGAAAGUGCUUAUGCAUUUGACUAUGAAAGCAUCAAAUCUUUUCACUUUUAUGAAAAAAGCACGUUGCAACCAAAACUCUAAAUCAAAAGGAAACAAAUUUAACCAAACCUUGUUGGGUUUGACUGGCGACAUCUUUCUCAUCAGUCUCCACGUUCUUCACACGAAGCUGCCUCCUUGCUCGGCUGCGGGAACAAGUGGUUGUUGUGAUAAAAAACGGUCUCGAGUUUCUUCUUAUGCGGUUGGAGUGUAUGAAGCUUGAGACGAACUUUGACGGUGUUGAUUUCGCGGAGAAUGGUAAUGCCGCCAUUGCUUUCUCAGUAUCCCUCUGAGAAAGUUAGUAGCAGAGCAAGGAGAAAAUGAGUGAAAGAAAACGUGUUGCCUUUUGUCUGCUUAUCUUCCUCAUGUUUGAGACGAGGGAAAUGCUUUGAUUCGUCGUUUUCCAACGUCUCCACUAUUACUUAGUUUACCACAUUAUUCUUUUUUCAAUUAAUUGGCUUUAAUUCAAUUAAUGAAUUUUUUUUGGUCUUGCUCCAUGUGCUUUUCAUCCUAAAAAAGUUUACGAGGAGGGGAGCUAUCCCAUUUUAGAAUCAGAGUAAAUCACAAACUUCUUCGAGAAUUUAUAAGGAGUUUUAGUUCAUUUUUUUAGUUUUUAUAGAUUGCCAGUGAAAGAGAUUGCUGGUAGUAGGACUCGAACUUAAGCUUUGAUUUAACGAAAAGAACGAUUCUUACUAACUCAACUAACUCUCGUUGGCAUUAUUCACUUAAUUGAAAAUUUGGCACACUUAUUUGCAUGAUAUUGUUCCUGCAUUUCCUUGAAAUUUCUUGAAAAGUAUGUGAAGGUUUUGGUCUCACUAUUAGCCAAGACAAGUGGGCCGUUCCGUUAUCCUAACAACUUACCCUACCAUGCAAGCAACUAUCACCUUCUUUUGGUGACUCUUUGCCCUCCAAAUUGCAACUAGCCACUUUGAUUUUGUUAAUUUGUUGUUUUUUAUUUGGCUGAGAAUUUGAUCUUUGUUUGUUGCUAAUUCAUUUUCCAAAUCAUCAUUUUCUAUAAAUUUUGUUGUUCAUCCAUUCCUCGCAAGUUUUUUAGUGUGAUGUCUCAUGUCACGUUGUAUUACUAAUCCAAUUGUUAUAUAUGAGUCAACAACUUGAAUGAUAUUUCAUAGGAUUAAGUUAUAUAAUGAUAAACAUAUACACAUAUUAUAACAUGAGAGCUGUAAAAACAUCAUAUCACAGUUUGAUGAUCACACUGAAAAAGUAAUCAUAGGACAAAAGAUUGGUCUCUAACAAAUUUAGAAUGAACCAACUACCAACCAAUUUAUUGGUAUUCUCGUCUACAAUGUUCAAGUCUCAAUCUCAAACCCACUCUCAUAAUGAGGAGAAAAUUUUCAGUCUAUUCGGAACACUGAACAGUAAAUCACAUCUUAUUAUACAAUUGAAAAAAAUUUCUUUCGAAUGUUUCUUAAAUUGUAUAAUAACAUAUAGCAUUCUGCUUUAUAUUGUCAGCAUACUGUAAAAAGGUUGCACUGUUAGAAAUUCUAGAAUGGAAUAAAGGUUUGGGCCACCAAUGACCCUCUCUAACCCAAAAUCAGACCCAAUGGAAAAGGACCAUUUUGGGAUUUUAUUAACCCAACAAGAAGCCUGCAAAUUGCCAAUGGACCACAGUGACAGGUGGCCAUCUGCUUCACCCACGUGGCACCACGUGGCAUGCAUACACGUCUUGACAAUAAUCCUUUAUUUAUCCACAAAAAUAAUACAAAACUGAGGAAAUUUGAGGAGGGAAGAAGGUAAAUCCCUCCCAACGGUCUCUCAAAGUUGGACCUUGGAUUCGGAGGAGGUUAGAGCCGUCCAGUUCUUCUGCUUUUGCGCGGCGUUUUUUUCUCUGAUUUUUUUUCUCACAGCCACAGACACAGAAAAUAAAUACUUCUCCACAGAAAACUCUUUGUUUCUCUCCAAUUUCUUCUCAAAUUCCUCUUUUCGUUUCAAGCACAAGCUAAAUCGUAAUCCAAAAACCGUAGUGGUUUGUUUACGAAACACUGCCAAGUUUCGGAUUUUAUCGAAAUUUCUAGGUACAUUUUUUGGUCUUGAUCACAUCGCAUGUGGUAAUUUUUGGUGAUCAACUAUUGAGCUUUUCGUUUUUGUUAUUGAAUUUAGUGGAAUGUUGCAAUGUGGUAUGAAAAUGUAGGCCAAGUGAAGAAUGUGGUAUUAGAAAGAAAUUGGGAAACCCUAGUUUUGAUCUUUUGUUUCUAAAUUUGUGGUCUUUUACAGACGUGAGUUAGGUUAGUUAGACAAUACAACAUGCUCACACGCUUGUAGUCGAGUUUGAUCCCCGUCUCAUAUAUUAAAAUGAUUUCUAGUAGUUUAGAACAUCGCUUAAAUACUUAAUUGCUAUUAGUUUAUGAAUUUUUUCUCAUCGUUUAACUUUUUUUCUGAGAUUGUAGGUACCGUAUUAGAAUCUUCACAAGGAUUCAAUCAAUUUCCUUUUGAUUUAGUGACUUUUGGUUAAAAUAAUUAAAAAAACCUUACCACUUAGACAACCAUUGGUUUCUUGCCAAAAUGUUUGGGUCAAAAAAAUCACCUGCAAAGAUUGCUCAAGCUGAUUCAGAUGCCGGGAAGAACGUGCUUAACCCCGCGAGAAGAACUUCUUCGGAGCCUAUGCUUGUCACCCCGGAUUUCAGCAACGAAAAAAAACCAUUAGAGCAGCAGAGUAUGCAAGAGUUAGAGAAAUAUGCCGUUAACAAGGCCGAGGAGACAACAAAGAGUGUCAACAACUGCCUCAGGAUUGCUGAGGACAUCAGAGGGGAUGCUACAAGGACACUUGACAUGUUGCACCAGCAGGGUGAGCAAAUUACAAGGACUCACAUGGCGGCUGUUGAUAUCGAUAAGGAUUUGAGUCGGGUAACGUCUCCUUGUUGUCAUGCUUGUAGUUAUUCCCAGACGAUUUAUAUUUUCUUGUGACACAAGAAACUAUAAAUCUUGAAGAGCAGCAUUUAGAUCUUAAUACCUAUUGAUGCAUUCUGAAAACAGGGUGAGAAGAUUUUAAACAAUCUUGGAGGCAUGUUCUCAAUGCCUUGGAAGCCGAAGAAGACCAAGGAUAUUUCGGGGCCUGAUUUUUCAUUAGGUUUGCUUCUGUUAUAAUCUGCUUGCUUCAUAUCCUAAUUCUUCAAAACCUCAUAAAGCUUAUUGCAUCUGUUGAUCAUGUUCAGCUGCACCCAAAAAAGCUGACCCACAGCAGAAGGAAAAGUUGGGUAUAGCUCCGAAAGGGCGGUCAGCUCCUGCAACGCCUCCUCCCGAAGGAUCAGGUGCCUUGCAAAAAGUCGAGGUAAGUGUUUGCGAUUACGAUUGUCAAGAAUAUGGCUACGUGCUCUCCAUAUUUACUUAUAUGGGACCGGUUUGUCAAUAUCAGCAUGAGAAGGCAAAGCAAGAAGAUGCUCUUUCAGACCUAAGCAAUAUAUUGGGGGAUCUGAAGGGUAUGGCUAUGGAUAUGGGAAGUGAAAUUGACAGGUUAAUAUCUUUGUUCUUCUCUGUAAACUUUCUUCACGAUUUCGUAUACAUGUUUGCAUUAUUGUUAAUAAUAUGGUAAAUGCAGGCAAAACAAAGCUAUUGAUAAUCUCUCUGACGAUGUUGAUGAGCUUAACUCUCGAGUGAAAGGUGCUAAUCAACGUACACGACGAUUGCUUGGGUGAAGACCAACAGCCUUACAAAUACCAGCAGCCUAACAUUAGUUACUGUAACUACAGAAAUCUUUUCCACUUUCGAUUGUAUAUAACUGGUCUCCCCCUAUUUGGGAUAUGCAUGCAAUAAAAGGAGCCUUUUUGUUCAGAUUUCACCAUACAGCUCUAAAUCACAAUAUAUAGUUCUGCAUUCCAAUUUUCUUCUCCUCCACUCCUCUUUUCUUCCUAACUUUUGGAUCGAAUAAAUCAAAUAAGAUCCCGGGACGGGACAGAAAUAAGGGGAUGAUGGCGGGAAGAGAAAACGGGAGUGAAAAUCACUACCGAUACCAACUGUGUGAAGAAAGUUUGAAUAUUUACAAACACUGCCAUCUGCAGUUGUACAACAGGCAAUCAGGAUGCCUUCCCGCUCACGUUUCCUCACUCGUCACAGGAGUCCAGUUAUUUCCUGGGACGGCCUUUUUCCUGGAAUAUGAAAUGUAACCCCCCAACAUAUCCUAUAAAAACCCCAAGCACCAACACGCUUGUUCCCUUCACAAACCAUGAGAAUGUACACUCCCCACUGCUCCUAAUAACUCCAGCACCACCACCGCUACCGAUAUCAACAGACUUGAUACCGCCUACACCAGCUCCACUACAGCCGAGAACUUGCCCCGACGCUAGAAUCUCAACCGUGUCGUGCACCUCCCCAUCAUGGUUUCCAACAUAAGUAAGUUUCUUCCUUGUGGCAACCAACCUAGUGUACCUAAAUUCACCCCUAAUGAUGCAAAAAUUGAAGAAAAUGGCGUAAAUCCUUAAGUCUCUGAACAAAUAAUGAGCAAAAAAAAAAAAAAGGAAAAGGAGUGGCUAUUUGAAAAUUUUCCGUCUUAUUUUGAACGAACAAGGAUUGUCUGCCCUCCACUUUCGGUGCCCUUUCCGUGCCCUUUUGUUUGUGUGGAUACAGUUAAGCCACGUCAACAUUUUAUAUUACUAUUCAUUUUUGUCUUAUUAUAUCUAUAAAAAAACAAUAUAAAAGGUUAACGUGGCUUAACCGUAACCACACAAAACAGGAGAGUACGGGAAGGACACCAGAAGUGAAGGGCAGACAAUCCUUGUCCAUUUUGAACAUGUCAGUGUACAAGAAAGAUAUAGGAGUAAGAGUAGACCAAAACAUAUUUAUGUGAAUCAUGUGACGAAGAUAAUAACAACACAUAUUUACUGACACACUUUAAAAUACAUAUAUGUUGAAUUUUACGUAUGUAAAUAGAAUUACUGAGAACAGUAAUUACCGAUUAAAAAAUAAAGACACAGAAAUGAGUUAAGUAUCCAAUCUAUUGGUGACUGGAGAUAAUGGAACGGAUAAUGAGUUGUGAAUUUGUGUUUGUGAGUUUUAACCACCACUCCACUCCAAUAGACAAUGUAUCUCGGUACAGAAGAUUUUUCAUUGUGUUGGGAACAUUGUCCAGUACCUCAUGUGUAAUAUUACAAUUAGGUAGAAAUUUAUAAAAAAAUAUUUCUAACCAAUUAUAUUAUAACACUCGAAACACUAAUUUGUGUCCCUAUGACACCAAAAAUUUUCUCCUCACACGGCAAUUGUAAUUAUAAAUUGGGGUAUUUUGAUAUGGGUCCAAAAUAGUUAAAAAUUAAACCUAUUUCAAAAGUCAAAAUUCAUUAAAAAUUGGACCUAUUUCAAAAGUAGCCUAUAAAAUGGGAUCUAUUUCAAAUUUUCCCUUAUAAAUUUAAGUCCUUCAUGUGCCUCUUGCGCCUUUCCUUUGCAUUAAACUCCUUUUAGUUUUACUACUACAAUUCCAUCACCAUCACCAUCACCAUCACCAUCAUCCUAAACACCUAAAAAGUUUCUCCCCUUCUAAACCAACCCCCCCUUCCCAUCUCUCUCUCUCUCUCUCUCUCUCUCUCUCUUCCCAAGAAUGACGAAGAGCUCUCUCUCUUCUUUUUCGUUUCUCUCCUCCACUUUCGGCCUCCGGCGGCGUUUUCUCAUGGCCGCGGCGGCAGUCUUCAUUUCACUACUUUUUGUCACAUCUGCUGCCGCACCCAUCUCUAACCCAAUCAAUGUUACGCCAAGAAACCCCCACCACCACCGUAAUUGCGAUCAUCCGACUUCAGUUUCGGAAUGGUCGAGUGCUCAGUUACGUUCUUUGUGCCUUGAACUCACCCACCACAGAAUAUUCCACGGCUACCUUCCCCUCUCGCCGCCGCCACUAUCCUCGUCGAGCCCCUCACAGCCGGCUCACGACGACCAUCAAGAUCAAGAUGGUCACCAGAUUGAUCCAAGAUACGGUGUCGAGAAGAGACUCGUCCCCUCCGGUCCCAACCCUCUUCACAAUUGAAAGUGCAAGUCCUGCACCCCAAGUAACGUCCUCAUCAAACAAAUUUCUGAAUAUUUUACCACGAACAUAUAAAUACUUAUCGUUCUUGAUCGGUUCUUGAGCGUUUCUUGGCAUCUUUCAUCACCAAAGUCGUUCUUGAGCGUUCCAGCAGCCAUAUUCGAGUCCGUUUUCCGUCUUCAUAACGAAAUGAUGAACGACGAUCAUGCAUCGGGACCGGUAUAAUAUUGCUAUCAAGGAGUUUAGCUAGUUCUUUAGUUCCUUAAUCCUCUUGCUAUAUUUAGUGCAUUAGUUUUCUUAAUGAAUUAGUACUCAUCGACGCAUGUACACGUUAUUUUCAUAUUUGUUUAUGAAUUAAUUAUCGCUAUCCCGAUAAUUUAAUGGGAAAUUAAUUCUCGUGGAAGCGGGAAAAACAAGCAAGGAAAUGGUCCCAGAUUUUCUUGAAUUGAUGUUCUUCAUGGGAUCGGAGGCGCCAGUUCAAAUUUGGGUGGGUGGGGGAGGAGAUAUCGUCAUCAUGUAAUUCAAAAGAUGCCUAUGAAUAUCAUAAAUAUACUUGAAGCUAUCGCUUUCUUUUUCGAGGUCAAAGUGGACAUUUUGCUUUCCAAAAUGUACCAUGUGGGUCCGAAUUUAAAAGUGAUCGUGUAUUUAUAUUAAGUUCAAGCUUUUUCUAUGAAUACGUGAAUUUAAUUUAGAGUUCUUGUUUGUGCUUUCAAUUUUUUGCGGUUUGCGAAUAACACUUCUCUAUCUCAAGUAUUUUUAUUUUUUUGUAUAAUAAGGUGAAAUAUGAAUCACAUAUCAUGAAAGUGAAAUAUGUUAAUGAAAUACGUUAUUGGGUGUAAACGGAAAUAUUUGCAUUCCUCAACACACUUACUUAUUUGAACAGUGGCGAUGAUUAAAUCUAGUUCUCAUUAGAGAAAUACAUAGCAAAAAAAUAUGCUCUACCCCCGAGUUUAAAAUGCUAUUACAAAAAUAAGUAAAAUGAAGUUCGAGUGUACAAAAAAAAAAAUCAAAAGAUGCACAGAACUUCUAACUCAGCUGACUAGAAUCAUUUAUCUUUUCUAGAAUUUGAAUUGAAAUUCUCUCUCGUUCAAUACUGCUCAAUUACUAUUUAGUACUACGAUCUGGUGGUAUUCUUCUUCGCUUAGAAGUGAGAGGUAUUAGGUUCGAAUCUCGUGAAUGACGAAUUUGAUACCAAAUUAGAGUGUUCAUUGUGUAGUUUAGUCGAACUCUUGCUCGCCUCUAGUGUAAAAUGUAAAUAUUGAUGUACUCAAAUACUGCUCAAUUAGUAGAGAAAAGAGAAAAACGAGAGGCCCAAAAAAGCCCAUAGUACACCCGUAGAUUACUAAACGAGACAAGGCCCAAAAGAAACACCAGCGAAGAGGCCCAAAGAAAAAACAGCCGGAAGGAGGCCAGACCAAUCAGAAUAAAGGGAAAAAAAUGAAAAAAUAAAUAAGAAAAAAGGGUCACCGACAGGACUCGGGAGGACGAAAGCAGAGUUCCAAUCUCUGGAGACUGGAGAGAUCGAAGAAGCUCAAGGGAAAUCACUAAUCUCUCAGGUAGUUACUUAACAAAUCAUAAUUAAGGACAGGGUUUUAGAUCUAAUUAGAUAAUUAAGUGCCACUUAAUUAUUCCGAGUGGAAAGUGUGUGUAAGUGAAGAAGUCCGAGAUCAGAGAUCUGCUGCGAGAUAUCUCCAAUAUCCCCUUUUGGAGACGACAAUGGCGCUUCGUCUUCCGUUUGCCGCGUUUUCUCUGGUCCUCCUCAUCGUCUUCCCUCCGCUGCUUCUCGACGCCAAAACCCUCAAACGCGACAGUAAGUCCUCGACUCCUCACACCUCUCUCUCUCUCUCUCUCUCUCUUUCUGCGAAUGUGAUUGGGGAAUUAUGGAAAUGGGUGGUUUUUUGUGACAGUGAAAGCACUGAACGAGAUCAAGGCUUCGCUGGGGUGGAGAGUGGUGUACGCCUGGGUAGGAGACGAUCCGUGCGGAGACGGCGACCUUCCGCCGUGGUCCGGUGUCACUUGCUCCACUCAAGGCGAUUACCGAGUCGUCACCGAGUUGUAAGAACACCACUUCUUCCACCUUCCCUUCGAUUUCGCUCCAAAGUUUUUAGCUUUAACUUAAAAUUACGUAUUUAUGUGUUGUUUAUUGUUUUGCAAAUUUGCAGGGAGGUUUAUGCAGUGUCAAUUGUUGGGCCUUUUCCUACGGCUGUCACCAAUCUCUUGGAUCUCACUAGGCUGUAAGAACACACACCUCUUCAAUCUACUGAUAUUUAAUUUAUCCAAAACUAUAACAAUUAAUACAAAUUGACGUUUCAAAAUCUAUAAAUUUAUCAGAUACAAAUGCAUAAAUCAAUAACCCUCUGGUUGUUUUUAAUUUUUUCAAAACUUAAAAGUUUGAUCUUUGUUUUGAAGAAUCUACUAUAUCUGUAUGUGACUCUGUCUGUGUCACAGGGAUCUCCAUAACAACAAGUUAACCGGCCCUAUUCCUCCGCAAAUCGGACGUUUGAAGCGUCUCAAAAUGCUGUACAGCCCUUUUCUAAUCCUUUUUAGUUCAAGAUAAUUUGUCUUCUGUUCAACUCAUGUGCAUAUUUUUCUAAUAGAAGUCUUCGUUUUUCUGUUUUUGAUCGUUUACUAAUUCUUGUUGCUUCUCAGUAACUUGAGAUGGAAUAAGCUACAAGAUGUCAUUCCUCCUGAAAUUGGUGAACUGAAGAGUUUAACCCAUUUGUGAGUGAAUUCUGUUUCUUUCUUUUACAAUGUAUAUGAAUUUUUCUUGUAAGGGCUAAUUCACCAUGAUUUACUUAAUAAUUCGGCAGGCAUCUUAGCUUUAAUAGUUUUAAAGGAGAAAUCCCGAAGGAGCUUGCUAAUCUUCCUGAGCUUCGCUAUCUGUAUCUGCAAGAAAAUCGCCUUGUUGGGCGGAUUCCUCCAGAACUAGGAACUCUGCAAAAUCUUCGGCACUUGUAUGUUUACAUAACUACUCCUCACACUUUGUCAAGAUAAUGCAUCUGUAUCUGGUUACUAAUGUGUGCCCUUGUGGUGCUGUUUGUUCAUAGGGACGUUGGUAACAAUCAUUUGGUGGGUACUAUUAGGGAACUCAUACGUAUUGAGGGCUGCUUUCCCGCUUUGCGUAACCUGUAAGUUAGUCCAAGUUGGCGAAUACAUAAUUAUCUCUACCUCAAUAGUAUAAAUGACAUGGUAACUGAAGUGAAUCUUUUUGCAACUGGGGUAUCUAGUUACCUAAACAACAACUAUCUUACCGGAGGAAUUCCAGCACAGCUUGCAAGCUUGUCCAAACUGGAAAUACUGUAUGUCUUACUCCCCUCUCUCCGUUCCUGUCCCGAUGGGCUGUUUCUAAUCUUGAGUUGAGCAUCAUCAAUUUGGAUUGGUUUCAUUACAUUUUGACCUGACACGAAGCUUGUUGGGUUGAUUAUUUUGUUGGUUACAGGUACCUAUCUUACAACAAGAUGUCUGGGAUAGUUCCAUUAGGACUUUCCCAUAUUCCGAGACUGACGUACUUGUGAGUUCCUUUUUACGACAUUUCUACUCUUUGCGUUUGUGCUCGACUAAUUGGUGUUUAGGGGGUAGUUUCAUCAAAGAUCAAGGGCUUGCCUCCUUUUUUAUACGGUCAACUUGUACUCUGGAAAGUAAACAGCCUUGAUGAAGGAUCUACCCAUUACUGCGUUAGAUUAAGGAAAAUUAAUGUGCAGUUUCAUUCAUUUCUUGUUCGGGUUUUUAUCAAAUUUAGGUACUUGGAUCACAACCAGUUUUCAGGAAGAAUUCCUGAUGCCUUCUACAAACACCCGUUCUUGAAAGACAUGUGAGUUUCUUUGUCUCCGGAACUUGGAAACUUCGAAUUACUAAAACUAUGCAGUAAUGUGUUUGAUACUUUGGUCAAUUGUUUUCUCACAGGUAUAUUGAAGGGAAUGCAUUCCGACCAGGUGUAAAACCGAUAGGCAUACAUAAAGUUCUCGAGCUCACAGACACAGAAUUCCUCGUCUAGUCAAGGCAUCAAGCUACUAUUUACUUGUUAACUGGUUGUGUUUUUUACUGCCCAAACAAGGGUUCUUAUAGUCUCGGAACGAAAUGGAAAUAUAUAUCGAUGAAGUUUUGCUGUCACUGAUGAGUUCAUAUGUUGCUCAACUCCGCAAGGAGUUUGCUUAUAUGGUAAAUGGUAGCAGGACUUCACAUUAGUUGCAGAACUAAUGCAUGUUUUAAAUCAUAGUAUAGAAAUCAACCGUUUAAUUUUUGGUAAGAAAAAUCUCGAUACUGCAAGUUUGGUUUAGUUCUUUUUUAUGUGUUGAAGGUUAGGAAUUCGGCAAUCGAACAUUAAAGCUUUGAUUCAAGUCUUGUCAACUUGAAACGAACAUCGAUCUCUGCCUGAAAAUUCUAACUGCAUUUUUAUGGUCUCCAAAACUAUUGACCUUGACCGAGCUGCAACCUGGAGCCUUGUGUACGCCUCCGUUUCUCAUCAAAUUCCUCAUUCAUCUGGCAUCACCAUGCUUCCCUGAAGCUGCAUGCAAAUUCGACAGCAAGACAUAGACGCCGAUGUGACAUUCGAGGUGAAAUGCUCUCCAAGCUACUGCUUAUUCAGAUGAUUUACUUGAACUGGCAACUGGGUAUACUUUGAAUUAUCUCCUUUGCUUCUUCGAAGAACCCGGCACGGCUUAGAAGGUCAACGAUACAUCCGUAGUGUUUGCUUUUUGGCUCAACGUGUAUAUCCUACGCAUUUUAUCAAACACCUUCAUUCCUUCGUCUGCCAUGCCGGAAUAACUGCAAGCAGUAAGCACAGCAAUGAAAGUAACAUCAUCUCCAUGCAUUGCAUUCCAGCAAACCGUGUCUCUUUGCAGCAUUUCAGCAAGCAAUCCUCUAGCUAACUCCAAUCUCCUACAUUUGGCAUACAUGUCAAUCAGACCAGUGGUCAAUCGAACACUCAACCGCAACCGAAGCCGAUUCAAAUACGAGUGAAUCCAAAUCCCAAUAUCCAGAGCUCCCAAAUGAGCACAAGCACAUAAAACACUAACAAAAAUCGCCUCAUCGGGUUCUGUAUCCUAAGCUGCAUCAACUGGAACAAAUAAAGACCUUCCCUGAAACAACCAUUCCGCACAUACCCAGAAAUCAUGGCACCUCAUAUCCCCCUGUCCCUCACCGGAGCUUCAUCAAAGAGCAAUCUCGCCAUGUCAAGAUUGCCCACCUUUGCAAACCCAGAAAUCAUGACCAUCCUUGAAACUGCACUUAGGCUAGGCAUUUCAUCGAACACGUACAGUGCUCUCUUCACGUCAUCAAACGCACAGUACAUAACAAUCAGAGAGUUACCCACAAAGAUAUCAGAAACAAAACCCAAUUUCAAACAGAACCCAUGAACCAAUUCCCCAAGACGACACCUUUGCAUCCUCGCACAAGCCUUUAGCAAAUAAGGGAGGGUAUAAUUACCUGGGCACAUCCCAUUCUGCAACAUCUCGGUAAAUACACCGACGGUCAGGAUGAGUUCGUUUCUGAGCAGUGAAGCUUUUAACAUUGUGUUGUAGAAGCAGAUUGUGGGCUCAUAUGGGCACUCACCUUCAUGCUCAAAUGAUCGAAAUGUUGGUUUACAAUCCUUUGUUCAAGCAAAAGGCCAUUCUAUUGGUUUCACCAGAUAAAAAGGAAUCUGAUGAAGGCAUCCCCAAGAAUGCUUUCAUAGCUCAGUUGGUUAGAGCACCCGUUUAGUAAGCGGGAGGUCUUGAGUUCAACUCUCAAUGAAAGCAUGUAAGUUGAUUUUUAAAUAAAACUAAUGAAAAAUGUUUUAAUUUUUUUUAAUGAUAAAUACAAAAUAAAGGGUAAAGUAAAUAGUACCAUAAUUAAAUUUUUAGUAUAAAAAUAUAAUUUUUCGUUAAAAUGAACAAUACCGAAAACUUUUCGUUAAAGUUUUUUUUUUCUUUUCCUUUUUGUGUUGGACCUUUGGAGCUCUGUUUUGUCUUGUUUCUGCAUUGGGCUCUCUUUGUUUUUUACCACAUUUGUGGUAGCAAAAAUUCGUUCAAUUUUCAGUGGGAAAUUUAGUUAAUGAAUCUUCAAUAUCUAAGUCAGUUUAUUUGAAAAUAAAAAGAGUUUAUGGCUUAACGGGAUAGCCCAAAACUUAAUAUUAAUUGAUGGAAAAUGAGGUAUUUGUAGAACUAGGGUUGGCCAUAUGUGUAGGGUGUGUCGAAAUUCAGUUGGCCAAGAUAUGUCAUCCAUUGGAUAAAGUAUGAAAGAACUGUCCCAGAGAUAUUAUUGAAUUAUAUUGUGAUUCCUUAUUUGAUUGGGUUGGUCUUCAAUUAGGAAAGCAUAAAGAUAAGAUUUGGUUAUUAAUGAUAUCUUUAAUACAUUGGGUAAUGCUAUUCUUACCACAUUAAUAUACCACAUUAGUGUACCACAUUAUGUGGCAUCUGAUGUGGCUGUCCACAUCAUCUAAAUUAAUUAUAAUUUAAAUUAAAUUAAAAACCAUUUAAUAAACCAAUAAUAAAUAAAUAAAUCUAGAAUUAAAUGGUGUUUGUGGCAUACGAGGAGUCUUCUCCUUCCUUCCUUCCUUCCUUCAUUCCCCAUUGCUUCUUCUCCCGUUUCUUCUUCCACGCCAUUUUUUUGUUUCAGCCCAGAUUUUUUCACAUUUGCAGGCAAGCAUUUGAGCAAAGUAGCAUAGUGUUGCUGGUGAAGAUAUCAAUUAAUAUAUAAGAAGUUGACAACAGCAGCAAACAGGUCAUCUGGGCACACUGUAUAAUCUCCUACGAAGAUUCGGUAGGUUCGGUUUUUGGUGCAGUGAUGAUAAUCUUCUAAAUCAAACCAUAAAUUGUGGAAAUUUAAGACUAACUAAUUCUUAAUCAUGCAAUAGGACCCUCUAGAACCCACUGCAUAAUGAUCAGUUAAGUGAAACGUAUGAUGAAGACAUGUCUGCCUAUAAAAUGUUUCAUGCAACUCAUUGAAAAAUAAUGGUAAAUGCUUACCAAUAAUCCAAAUAGGGGAGCGUCGAUGAAUCUUUAUCGUAUGAGAUUUAGUUGAAACAAAAAAAUGGCGUGGAAGAAGAAAUGGGAGAAGAAGCAACGGGGAAGGAAGGAAGGAGAAGACUCCUCGUAUGACACAAACACCAUUUAAUUCCAGAUUUAUUUAUUUAUUAUUGGUUUAUUAAAUGGUUUUUAAUUUAAAUUAAAUUAUGAUUCAUUUAGAUGAUGUGGACAGCCACAUCAGAUGCCACAUAAUGUGGUACACUAAUGUGGUAUAUUAAUGUGGUAAGAAUAGCAUUACCCUUCAUUUAGAUGAUGUGGACAGCCACAUCAAAUGCCACAUAAUGUGGUACACUAAUGUGGUAUAUUAAUGUGGUAAGAAUAGCAUUACCCCUAAUACAUUUGACCUUUCCCCUUGUUAAGCUUGGUGGGAUUGUAGUCACAGGCUCAUGAUCAAGAGGGUAGUACAAUAAAUGUGGGACGUGCUAAUUUAAUGGGAGCAUCUUCGUUACUUGUCGCUCCAAAAAAUUUCAAAUUAUCUUUUGCUCCAAAAGAUUUUCAUAUAUUUUUAUCAAUCAUGUAAAAUAUCAAUUUGUGACAAUGCGAGUAAAAUUAUUAAACCUAAAUUGCGAUAUCACACAAAAACCCACUAUUUCGGUUAAACUUAAUGAUUACUACAACAAAAUUAUCUCAAAUUGGAUAAGAUAUAUAGUAGGAUAUAUAAAAGAGAUUUUCAAAAUCUUUAAACUCUGAGUGAUACGUACAUGAACAAACACUGGAUUUUGACAAACAAACAAAUUACCCUACCUAGAUUUAUCCUUAUCCAUAUUAUGUAUUUCAAAAAAAGCACUAUAUAUAAACGUGAUUUUUCUCCCAGAUUUACUGUGUGUGAAAAAAUGGAGGUUAGAGGAGGAGCCAUAUUUUUUAUUUGUGUAUCGUGGUUUUCAUUAGGUUUAGCUGAGUACGUUGAAGUGAGAGUCAAGGGAGUGACUUCCAUAGCCACCACAGAUGAUAACUUCAUCUGUGCAACUUUGGACUGGUGGCCUGCUGACAAAUGUGACUACGAUCAGUGCCCAUGGGGGAAGGCUGGCAUUUUUAAUCUGGUUUGUAGCGUCUUUUUCUCCAUUGAACACUGCUUAACUUCUUAUUGUUAACGAGUCUUUUCUCGUUAUGUUUUCUAGUCGUACUCUUUCAUCUUCUAAAUAAACAAAUUGGUGAGGAUCUUAAACUUUGCUCGUAUUUGCAGGAUUUGAGUAACAAGAUCUUGCACAAUGCUGUCAAGGGUAAGUGUUUCCGAGUAACACUUUGAGAAUUCGAUUAUCGAAACUCUGACGUUUAGUUCUGCUCGCCUAAUCCGUGAUUGGCUUCACUACUUUCGUUUUAAAAUUAGAAAACGAUGUGUUGAUGAAGGACUGAAUUUGUUGGAAAAUUUUCAGCUUUCAAUCCAAUGAGAAUCAGAGUUGGAGGCUCAUUGCAAGAUCAGGUCAGUUAUGGUGUAGGGUUUGGAGACAAAUCAUGCAACCGUUUCAAGAAAAAUGAUUCGGGAUUGUUCGGAUUCAGCGAAGCUUGCCUUCACCAUAAAAGAUGGGAUGAGCUCAAUCAGUUCUUUAACAAAACAAAGUAUGAUAAUUUCUCCAUAAAAAGCAAUGCAGGAAAUAAGAUGGCACUUUGAUUUACUAAACACUCACACGUUCAUUUUUUGCAGAGCUAAGGUCACAUUUGGUUUGAAUGCCUUGCAUGGGAAGAAAGUGUCUUCUGAAGACAAAAGUCUUCGAAUCGGUGAUUGGAACGCUCAAAAUUCUCGUGAUCUGAUGGAGUACACAAUUGCAAAGGGAUACGAGAUUGAUUCAUAUGAGCUUGGUAAAUGACUUUUGUUUUGUUUUUUUAAAUGCGGACUUUUUUUAGUAGUUAAUCGCUCUGUAGAAGGAUUGUGAGUUCGAUAUAUGUAACUGUUGCUCAUUUGACUGCAAAUGCCAACAGGGAAUGAGCUAUCCGGGAGUGGAGUAUCUGCAAGAAUAGAAAGUGAGCAAUAUGCAAAAGACAUGACAAAGCUCAAAGAAGUUGUGACAGAAUUGUACCCCGAUGCCUCAAAUCGACCUAAGGUUUUAGGCCCUGCUGGAUUUUACGACAAGAAAUGGUUCGAAAACUUCCUGCAGGCCACGGGGCCAGGCGUUGUUGAUGGUGUAACUCAUCACUUAUACAAUCUUGGUGCAGGUAAUACAAAUAUUACUAAUCAUCAAUAAGUAUUGAUCAUUGGCAGAAAAAUGUCUGAUUUGGGGAAAAUCUUAUGAUUUUUUUCUGGUGUUCAUCCCGAGCUUAUCGACAAGGUUCAAGAUCCAUUUUUUCUGUCAGAGAUAGCUCAAACAUUGUACGACUUGUCGAAUACAAUCCAGCAGUUUGGGCCAUGGUCAGAAGCUUGGGUUGGGGAAGCAGGUGGAGCUUAUAACAGUGGUGGCAAAGAUGUCUCACAUACUUUUGCUGAUGGCUUUUGGUAAACACAUUUUUUGCCUUUACAAUUUGGGAACUGAAUUUUGCACUCCUUUGUUCUCUCCGUGUACAUUAUGGAGUGACAGAAAAAACGAGAGUGUGAAAAUCGAUACCCGAAAAUCUAUGAGCAAAUAUAAACAAAUGUGACUUUGAUUGAAAUAGGUAUUUGGACCAGCUUGGCAUGACAUCAACCUACAACCACAAGGUUUACUGCCGACAAGCCUUGAUUGGAGGGAACUAUGCUCUGCUUAACACCACCACAUUCAUCCCUAAUCCCGAUUAUUACGGGUUCGAAUCUCCGCCUUAAAUUUGAAAUGGUUAUCAAACAGUACCGAAGUUCUUAAACUUUUCUAAAUCUUUUCUGUUGCUUUUUCCCCUACCAGUGCACUCUUGUGGCAUAGACUAAUGGGAACUAGGGUUCUUUCCACCAUGAACUUUGGCUCUCCUUAUCUGAGAGCAUAUUGCCAUUGCACAAAGAAUCAGGUACCUCAAACCCUAAUUAGCCUUUCCUUUAUUAACAUUUAUAGCAUCUUAACAUAUUUUGUUACAGAAAGGGGUCACACUACUUCUGAUCAACAUGUCCAACGCCACCACCUUCGACGUCGCUGUUCUCCCCGACUAUAAUUUGUACCCGAGGCAAAUACUUACGACCAGAAAGUACGGUGCUAAUGAUGAACCAGAAAGAGAAGAGUAUCAUUUGACACCAGAAGGUGGCAACAUUCAAAGUGAUGUGGUAUUGCUCAAUGGAACUCCUUUGAAACUCACAAACUCAUCAGACAUUCCGGAAAUGAAACCAAAACUCGUUGAUCCCACUUCGACGAUCAGCGUCGCAGCGGAUUCAAUCGUCUUUGUAUCUAUAAAAAAUUUCCAUGCCCCGGCCUGCGCUUAAUCGAAUAUCUUUCUUACGUUUUUUUUUUGGUUCCACCUUUCUUUGUUCUUUAGAUUAAAGGUUUCAAGUAUUGGUAGGGUUAAUUUGCAGUGCCUUUUUUAUGUAAUUUUAAGUACUUUUUUCGAAACAGAAGAGUAGCAUAAACUUUUCAUGGAAUUUUUCUUAAGAAUUCCGAAAGCUAAGAAUCAUUGCAAAGAAGAAAUACUUUCCUUUCACCAGGAAACCCUAACUUGUGUGCAAAGUAACCUCAAGCUUUCUUGCCAGCAUUGCCCUAAAACUAGCCUAUGAACUAGCUUUAAACAAGCAUCUCUUCUCUAAUCUUAUCCUUCAAAUAUCCUUCAAAUAAACACCAAACUAUGAGCAACAAAUCCUUAAUUCACAGAGAAGAAAAUUCGGGGCUCGUUUCUUCGGAAAGAAUAGAUUGAUCAACCAAAUAAGGUAAUUCGCCCCUUAACCCCGAAAAUAUUCGACUUUGUUUCGAUUAUGUAAUUAUGAUUACUAUUUGUAACUAGAGGAUCAUAUCCGUUUAUAUUUGACUAAUCACUAUUGUUAGGAUGAGAUUCUCCGGCGCAGGACGAGAAGACUGAAGAGUCCGGCAGCGUCUACGACCUGCAGAAAACUUAGUUUUUCAAAGGUAAUACAUGGCUCUUUGUCUCUGCAUAAUAUACAAAUUUUCUGGUUUGGAAACAACUUUUCUCAGUGGUUUAAGCUAUUUCUUGCAGAGAAAAGGAAACCCGAACUGGUUCCAGAGACAGCUCUAAGCAAAAAUGAGUCAAGACUACGAUGCUAACAGAGCAAUGGAGCAUGCAACUGCGGUGGCAGCUGCUGCAUUUGCCAUUAAAUCAAUUGAAGAUUCGGCCAUCUCUGACAAGGAAAUGGCGGGCAAUGAGCGUAAACCAAAUUUGGUGAGGAUCACGAGCGGAAAGGAAGAAACGGCAAUUUCAAAGCCGGAACCUGGAAUAUUUUCCAAAAUAUUCUCAGGUAAAAAUAUCUAAUAACAUUGUUAACGACCCUAAACACGGAUUUUCCGGUUUUUAAGCCAGAACCAAGAUUUUCUGUAUUAGGUGCAGGUUCGAGGAAAAGUACUCCAGCACAAGAAGAUCCAGAUGGUAAGGUGCCAAUAAGCAUUGCCACAACCGGGAAGAGCCCAGAAAAGGCUGUCCUUCCUGACAGUAUAAAACGUCAAACUGCACCACCGCCGCCACCACCACCACCACCCCCCCUUCGACCCCCAUCUAUCAAGAGAACUCCAACUUUUGAUGAUAAACGGUCGAGCAGCGCUGGCGGUGUAAAACCUGAAACUGCAGCAGCAAAACCCAAUUUGUCUGCCACUACGAAACCCGAAAGUCCUUGGGAUGAAACCAAGAAGCCGACUUCAACAGGACCUGGAACAAGGAAAACACAAGCAGAUAUUUGGGAAGAAACCAAGAUUGCUAGACUCAAAGCAAGGUAGCUACUCAUCAUCGGCGAUCAUUUUGCAUAAUUUAUAGUUCAAACAUUCUGUCACAUUCAGGUUCUGACAGCCAUUAUUGUCAGGUAUGAGAAGCAAAAGGCCACAAUACUUGCAUGGGAGAACAACAAGAAGACGAAAUGCAGAAAACGUCUCGAUAAAAUAAAGGUUUUGCUUCAUUUUAUUUUCAUAUACAAUCAAAAUUAAGAUCAUGAACUAAUAAUCCACUUAUUGGAACAGCAAGGUGAAGUAGCGGAAAAAAGAGAAAAAGCACUACGAAAGUUCAGCGCAGAGAUGGAAUAUAUCAAAGAGAUUGCAGACGGAGCUAGGGCACAGGCAGCAGAGAGGCACAGAAAUGGUGUCUUGAAGGUGAAACAAAAGGCAAAUGAAAUGAGAAGAACAGGGAAAGCUCCUACAACAUGCUUCUGCUUCUAAUUAGACCAAUUACUCACCUACUUUCGAGUGUAAAUAUUUUUAUCAAGAUACUGUAUUUUCACAGAGAGUCAAUCACAAUAAGAUGGCAGUUCCACCGCAUGGUUAGCUGCCCCAUAUUUAAAACGAGUAUAAAUAAAACACAAAGGAAUUUCCCAAUUACAAACAAACUAAUAGACACUCAUUUCAUAUGGUAAAUUACACUUCAAAGUCGUAUAUUCAUUUUCUCCGGAUUUCAAAUAAGCAUGUAUGUAAUCCACUACGAUAUAUUUCAAUACCUCAUCUAAAAUCACUUGAGAGCAAUAAUCUUGAGAGUACUCAAGCUUGGGCAGAAGGAAAUCAGCUACUUCAAACAAAUAAUGAUAGUUACAGUAGUGACAAUCGUUUAGACACAGAAGUCGGAACUUACAAAUUACCCAAGAAACUUCCCACUAAACUCUUGAAACUUCCACCAUCAUACGCACGAGAUCUGAGAAGGAUGUGGAUAGCAAAGACUCAGGUUGAUGGGUCACGAGGUUAUCUCCUUUACCAGCCUCUCCAAAAUAGGGUAUGCAAAGUACAAUAACAAGAACGAUGGGAUUGCAAAAACCACUGUGAGUAACAAGUAGAUUGCCAAAACUAUAGCACUGCCAGGUAUUGCAAAAAAUGCAAUCACGAGAAACAAUAUGACUAAUGGGAACUUGGAUGUAAUGUGAAUGAAGCAAUCCAAAGACUUGUGCAGGGAGAAUAGAUGCCGCUCCACACGGCCACCUCUAUCAUCACGGUUAUACCUUGAUAGUGAAGGACAACUAGAAUGGUUCCUCCUCAGGUUACCAUUGCCAGCUUGAUUUCCUAUAGCGAAACUUGCUCUUGGAGAACCAAUUUGUUGGUUUUCCCCACUGAUUGCAGGAACAAACUUUACCCUAUCACCAUUAAAGCUCUCAACCAUCCACAGAAGGAAGAAAUUCUUGCGAGGAAACUUUAGAUUACCCUUAUAAAUCAGCCGCAAAGACAACAGGUAGCACCAAGGGCAAGAAAUGAAGAAUGGUAUCUUAAACUUUUGAGAGGAAAACUUUACAGUGGCCCAUUGAAGCCCCAAGACACAGUUUCUGCACAGGGUAUGGCCGCACCAUAAGACAUGGGGCACAUUCUCGACAAUGUUGAAAGAUUCCAGGCAUAUAGGGCAUUCUAACCCUUCCUCUCGGCUUGAAUUCGAGCAGACUUCAUCAUCCGAGGAGUCCAAGCAUACCCGACUUGGCUCUGAUGAGCUUCUUUUUAGUCCAAUGCUUGUGAUGGCAUUUGAAGCAAAACCCCACAUCCUAACAAACAAAUCAGGCCGAUACAAACGAAGGGGUUAAAUGAUAAAACCCUAAAGAACAUGCAACAGCAUUCGGCCAAGAAACAUGAAUGUUCAAAAAUCCUUUAAGUCCUGUCAACAACAAGCUAGUUUAUAGAGAAAUUCUAGGAUAAACGACAACAUAAAAGAAAUAUAGUUUGUAUUUCCACAAAUUUGAUUAUCCUUUUGCAAUGUGAAUAAGUAAUUUAUUCAACAAACAUAGUAUGAAUUACAGCAAGCAUGCAUUGGAAUCCCCAAAACAAUAGACCAAUCCAACACCAAAAUGCCUUAAUGACGAAAAAUAUGUCCGAAUCGAGACACCGCAAUUCUUUCACAAUAGCCUUUUCACAGUAGAGUCCUUAAUACACCAGUUCAACUGGACACCUUAUAAUUUGUUUAAUCACUUUCCAUAUACUGGGGAACAUGAAAUCCUCUACCAUUCUCUAAGCUUAACAUUAUAAUUCUUAAUUUCUGCACAAUACAGCAUAAGUUUACCAAAAAUUACCCAAAAACCCCAAUUAAGACGUCACAGUUGAAUUCUGAUGGAGAAACCAAAGCGCUAGGAUAGAACUACCCAACAAACAAUUAAGCAAAAUAUGAUUUGGGUCGCAAGGAAUUUGAACGGUGACACCGUUGACAAGCGAAAUUAACACGCUUUUACAAUCAACCGAACAAACAAUCAUUGCAAUUCAACACCUCAAUGCGGCAAAUUUUUACGUAGAUUCGAAUCGAUGAUAAAAUAAAAUAAAAAUUAAGACAUAAAAGGACGAUUUGGAGGUCAAAAUCUCACCUUUUAACGAGAUUGACUGAAAUUCCAAGGGGAUUUGGAAAGAAAGCGGCAGAUGAUGAACAAGCGAGCAGCUCGGUUCCUCUGUAUCUCCGAUCGUCGUAGCUGCCUCGCGUGUUAAAAAAUGGCAAAGAUGCCGUGGAGAAUGUAACGGUGUUAAAAAUGCGGGUAGGUGCCAGGUGGCGAAGCCCGUGUCACAAGGAUUCUGGUUAGCUCUUUUGUUGGGUGAAAAGAGAUCUUAUCCGAAUCUCUUUCAUCAAGGUCACCAGAUUAAAUGAUCCGGACCUUUAAAAUUUCAUUCAACGAUAAAAAAUUAUUAUAAUUUUUAAAUUAUCAAAACAAAUAGAUCGUUUGAUGAAAUUUCAAAGGCCGGAUCAUUUGAUCCGAUGACCUUGAUGUCCUUAUUGGAAAACAAAAGCGCAAACAGAGUGGCCGUUGGCCAAUAGGAGAAUAACAAAUUAAAUAUUUUUUAGUGAAAAAAUAGAUUAAAUAUUUUUAUUUUUAAACAAAAAUAAUAAUUAUUCAAUGCUAUUUGGUGUGUGUUCCCAAGAAAAAUCAAUGUUUUGUUGAGCAGACCUGAUAUAAGUAUAGAUGGGUUGGUUUGAUGUGUCUAACUAUCACCUAAAUCUGAUUAGAUUAUGUUUAGAGACACCAAUUAGGCAUUGGACAUUGAUUUUAUUGACUUGGAACGAGGGAAGUUAUUGAAUCGAAUAAGUUAUGUAUUGUCGAUAAAACAAAUGUGUAUAUUAGUUGGUUCUUGUUAAUCAAUUUAAUUUCUUUUAGGUAUCUGAUUACGAAUUACAAUGUAAAAUUUAUUAUAUUAUAUUAUGCACGUAUUACCUAACUCAUAAAAUUUAAGAAAUAGUAACAAUUCCAAGUAAAUAAACAUGUUUGUUAAUAUAGCAAAAUAUUUUUAUCUUAUGAGGAAGGAUUAACUAUGGGCCUCUUCUAAUAUUAUAGAAAAAAAUAUUAAUAAGAUAAUAAUUGGAUUAUUUAACAAAUUUAGAAAUGAGAUCUAUGAAAUAUUUAAGGGAUAUUUAAUAUAUUUACACAACAAAGAUAAGUAUUUCAAAUUACAAAAAUUAAUUUAUGCAAACACCACUUUACUUAUUUAGCAAGAAAUACAAAAAUACAUAUUGAAAUACAGAGGGCUCCACACAGAGGAAGGGAGGCCCAGGACCAUAAGUCCAUUCUAGCCCAAAACAAGCCGGAAAACAAAAAGAAGGCCCAAAGUAGCCCAAAAUAGAAUACAGAAAAUCAGAAACAAACUAUGAUCAUCAACCCAAGAAGACGAAAGAACUUCCAUGCAACGAGAAUAUUGCUCGUGGCGAUACAUCAAUCGAAUCAUACUAUACUUUGUGACAAGUAUGCACUGCAUGAUUGACUUGCAUUGUCACUUUAGUGGUAUCUCAGUGUGUGUAAGUUUCUCGAAGUGAGCUUAAUUAACUUCACGUAAUUAGUGAUUAAUGAUAAUCAUCAGAUUAGCCCUUCCAGAAACCCUGAGCCAUCUUCAGAUAGCCCCCAACUCCACCACCACCAUCCUCUUCACCGUCAUCCUUUUUAGUGGGCUUCUUCGGGCCCCCACCGCUCUCAUUUGAAUCAUUACUUUUCUUCUUCUUCUCCUCAGAAGCUGAAGAAUGAGAAACAGAAGUUUUGGGGCCACCUCCCUCACCUUCUUGGCCGCCGCCACCAUACUUGCGAAGCAUAUCCUCUGCCUUGCUGAGGUAACUCCCGAUGCCUUCUUUGUCGUCGAAACCGCCGUACGCAGAGGCAGCACCUAGAAUGGUACUGGCAGCCUUGCAAACCUCAGCUUUGUCGAACUUGUCCCCUUUAUUAGCGCCCGCCACAAUCUUCGCACUCGACAUCACCUCCCCCAUUGAUGGCUUUUCACCUUUCUCCUUCGCUCCUCCCGCUUUCGCUUUCUCCGCCCCCACACCACCAACAUGUUUCCCGUCAGUGCCCACUUUCCGCUCACGAUGUUCACUCUGCUCAUCCUUUUCAUCCCCAUAAGUUGACUUUGAUGGUUUAGCAGCAACAGCUUUUUUCUCGAGGUAUUGAUCAUCCUCCACAUCCCCAUCUUUUUCAGGUUUCGCGCCUUUGGCUGCUUUCCCGGCAGAACCCGAGCUAGGUUUUUUUUCGCGAUGUUCCUGAUCAUCUUCAUCUCCAUAACCCUCAGAACCAUAAGCUUGUUUCGCAGCGGCCUUUGGUUUGCCAGGUUUUCUUUGGCCAUAUUCAUCCUGAUCAUCUUCUCCCCCAUACUCUUCACUUGAACCGUAAGCCGCUUUCACAGCAGCUUUCGGCUUGUUGGGUUUCCUCUCGCCGUAUUCAUCUUCAUCUUCCGUCGAACCGUAAGUCGCCGCCGCUUUCGCAACGGUUUUCGGCUUGUUGGAUUUUCGCUCGCCGUAUUCAUCUUCAUCUUCCGUUGAACCGUAAGCCGUUUUCGCAGCGGCUUUCGGCUUGUUGGGUUUUGUCUCGCCGUAUUCAUCUUCAUCUUCCCUCGAACCGUAAGCCGCUUUCGCAGCCGCUUUCGGCUUGUUGGGUUUUCUCUCGCCGUAUUCAUCUUCAUCUUCCGUCGAACCGUAAGCCGCUUUCGCAGAGGCUUUCGGCUUGUUGGGUUUUCUCUCGUCGUAUUCAUCUUCAUCUUCCGUCGAACCGUAAGUCGCCGCCGCUUUCGCAACGGUUUUCGGCUUGUUGGAUUUUCGCUCGCCGUAUUCAUCUUCAUCUUCCGUUGAACCGUAAGCAGUUUUCGGAGCGGCUUUCGGUUUGUUGGGUUUUGUCUCGCCGUAUUCAUCUUCAUCUCCCGUUGAACCGUAAGCAGUUUUCGGAGCGGCUUUCGGCUUGUUGGGUUUUGUCUCGCCGUAUUCAUCUUCAUCUUCCCUCGAACCGUAAGCCGCUUUCGCAGCGGCUUUCGGCUUAUUGUGGUUUCUCUCGCCGUACUCAUCUUCAUCUUCCGUCGAACCGUAAGCUGCUUUCGCAGAGGCUUUCGGCUUGUUGGGUUUUCUCUCGUCAUAUUCAUCUUCAUCUUCCCUCGAACUGUAAGCUGCUGAUGAUUUCGGUUUGCUGGAUUUUCUCUCACCAUGUCGGUCUCGAUCUUCUUCGUCGCCAUACUCUUCGCGAGAACCGCCGUAAGCUGGUUUUAUCUGCCGAUGUUGGCUUUGGUCAUCUUCGUCUACGUACCCUCCUCCAGCAGGUUUCGAUUUGGUCAUAUUUCUCUGGCGGGGUUGACUAUGAGCUCCUUCUUCCUCCUCGUAAUCUUCAGAACCAUGAUGCCGAUCCAUUGAUUAAUUCAAAGAAAAUGUAGCAGUGCCUUGUUAAUUUUUCUGUAAGUGAUGAGAAAUUGAGUAGCUUGUUGGUGAAUAUAUACGCAUGCCUCUCUCGACUUUGUGAAGUACCCGUUUUCAACGGGUUAUUCACAAGCAACUUCUAUUUUGGGUGGUGUUAAUUGAUGGUUCAAUUUUUUCUUAUUCUUCAAUUAUCAUAGAUUGUAGAAAGCCAAAUAUUGGUUGGACACGGGUUUUCUCUGUCGACCACUCAUUUCUGGAGAGAAACUUCGGUAGAGCAGAAAAUCAGCAUGUAUGAUCUCUCGCAUUGAAAUUUAUACUUAUGUUAUGCACUAGAAGUUAUACUUGCAUGGAGCCGGAUGGUACUUGAAUACAGAGAAUUUCUAAUGCUACAAUGUAUUACAAUGGUUGCAUAACUUGCAUUAUUUGAUUAAGCAUGCGAUGCCGUUCAGAGAUUCUAGCAUGUAACAUAACUUGCAUUGUUUCAUUAGACGAUUAGUGUCGCGUAGAGACUCUAACGUGUAACCGAUGUGAUCUCUCCGAUCUUAAGAUUUGGAUACAUCUACUGAUCUACACACAAACACAGUUACUUCAUUUUUUGGGAAAGAAAUACAUACACUGAUACAUAUAAGGACUGGGUCCGAAACAGCACACCCCAAAUCAAAUGCAGACACUCAAACAAACUUUAUCUAACAUCAUAAUUAAGUAAACAACUUAAGCCAAAUUAAGUGAAAGUUCCGGAGGAAUAAGCAUAAUUAACGUUACUUAAUUAGUGAUUAAUUAUGACGAUCGUCACUUCUUCAAGAAACCCUGAGCAACCUUAAGGUAAUCCCCAACCCCACCUGAUCCACCCUCCUCCUCCUCCUCCUCAUCCUCCUUUUUACUAGGUUUCUUCCUAGUCUCAUGCUCUCCGCUCACCGGAUAGUUCUCAUCAUCGUCUCUUCUGUCCUUCCCCAUACUAGACUUAUAAGACUCAGAAGAAUUGUGACUUCCUCCUCCGCCGCUUUCACCGUCACCGCCGCUGCCGUACUUGCGGAGCAUAUCCUCGGCCUUACCAACAUAACUCCCAAGUCCUUCUUUCUCGUCCAGCUUGCCAUAGUGUGCGGCACCGCUUAAGAUGUUACUAGCAGCCUCGGAAACCCUAGCUCUGUCGAUAUUUUCGUCGCCCCCUUUGUUCAUCGAAGAUUUGGCUGCUUCCGCCACAAUCUUUGCACUCGACAUCAGCUCACUCGUCGUCGGUGGCGCACGUCCCGGCUUCCCGUGGUGACCCUCCGUCGCGGACUUUCUCUCGCCGCCGUACUGAUCUUCCUGGUCUUUGUCCCCGUAACCUCCAGACCCGUGGCGACCCUCCAUGGCGGAUUUUCUCUCGCCACCGCACUGAUCUUCCUGGUCUUUGUCCCCGUAACCUCCAGACCCGUGGCGACCCUCCGUGGCGGAUUUUCUCUCGCCACCGUAUUGAUCUUCCUGGUCUUUGUCCCCGUAACCUCCGGAAGAGAAAGCUGCUGAAAGCCGAUCCAUUAAUGAGUGAAGAAAGGUAGAAGUGCUUUUGCUUGCGAGGAGGGUUUGCUAAAACGGGUUGAAGGUGAUGAUAUUUAAUACUGACUUGCUCUUGCUUUAUGGGUGGAUGGAUGGAUAAUUAAAAAUAUUUAUGAUUGUCGGUAGGAAAUAAAUCUGUCGGCAAGAUAAAUUUUUCAGUAUGAUCAGAAUACGGGGUAAUGUACUGUAUGCUAUUAUGUCAAGGAUGAAAUAACCAAACGUGUUAAAAAAUUAAUAACUUACAAAAGUAAAAUAAAUCACUACUUAUAUAAAAAAAAAACACGUGAUAUACAGUUUGUGUUAUGAUAACCACAGGAUUCUUGUGGCGAGAAUUUUUGUGGCGGUGGCUGUUGCUGGUCACCGCGUUCAGAUUUCGGUAUCUUUAUGGCAUAUUCGUGUUUCAUCUUAUCCUGUUUCGUAUCAACAUUUUGGGGAAGCGAUCAUUUCGGAAUCUCAUCCACUAAAACUCACGGAUCAAGUGAUAUAAAUUAGUGAAAUUUGAUCUAACGGUUAAAAUUAUUAUAAUUUUUAAAAUAAUUUUUUGUUUUUAAUCGUUGGAUCAAAUUUCAAGGAUCCAGAUCACUUAAUCUACAGAUUUUGAUGGAAGAGAUAUGAAGAGGAUCUCUUUCUAACAUUUUGGUCCCCUCCUAAACCCUAUCUCACGUUGACACGUGGUAGGACACCGUGGUCCGGCUUGCUCCCUCUUCAAAUUGACUUUGAAACUGCCAAGUGCCAAGCUUCUGCUUGAAAGGAAUGGGAAGGAUCCACGUAUGCAAUGGGCUCAGAGUUUGAUAUGUCUUGGGCUUCUCUGGCUUAUACGUCAAUGCCUGCCAUGUCCAGGCUACUUCCUGCUUUAGCAUUUUUAGUUUUCUGGGCCUUCGAUUUGGGACCAAAGAAAGCUUAUGAUUAUUUUUUUAAGAUAAGGAAACGUUAUAUUUUAGAAUGAGCUUUAGCGCAAUCAGAGAGUUGCUUUUUUAUGACGAAAAAGUCAUUGAUUCGAGACGUGAAAUUGCAAAAACGAAUAAAUUUGAGCAAAAACGAAUAAAUUUGAGAGGAUUUCAAUUUUAUUGUAUCAAUUAACAAAUCUGUCAACUUUUGAUUGAGGUUUGACGGCCGAGAUUAAUUUGAAUGUUGUCAUUCCAAGUUUCCAUUCAAUUAAGGGCAAAGGAGCAUGGUGUUUCUAUCUAUAGAUGACAACAUCCUUUGAUGUCGAAAAAAUGACGACAUCGUGUUGCAUAAGGUCUUAAUUUCUGCACACUGCACCCUUAUAAAUUAGACAGCAACCUGGCAAAUAACAAAAAUAGCUAGAUCUUCGUCUUCAACAUUGCAAAUUGAUCCCCGUUCAUAUAGCAAAUGGUCACCCCAAAGGUGUGAAACUGAGAACACAAAUGGUGUUGCCCGCGACAAACAUUGUAAGCACUGCUUACGCAUUUUGUGUUCUCAGGUCACCCCUUUGGGGCACCUUGCUUACAUGCACUUCGUAUCUGAGUUCAAGAUAUUCAAUUCAAUGAUACAGCUCAAGUUCGUGAUCCAUUUAGUUUGGUUGUUUUUUCUAUUUUGAUACAAAAGUGAGACAUUCAAACUCAUAACUUUUGUCUAAUAUUGUUUUUUUUUUGUAGGUACAAUCUAAUGUGGUUUAUAUAAUGCUGACACUCUAAAAAUCUUAUUGUGCAUUUUAAAUUUUUUUAUUUAGAAUAAAAAUUGAUUUAUAAGUGCACGAUAAGAUUUUGGAGUCCUGAUAAUAGAUUUUUUUAUUGAUAUAUUGUUUUUAUUUUUAUUUAUCUUGUUUAAGUUGGAACUGAGUCGGUUUGAUUUUUUGUCAAAAUAAAGAAUUAUAGGGAAAUUACUAUUCGGUUUGAUUUGGUUUUUUGUUCGGUUUAACAUAUAUGACAAAUUGGUACAUCACUAUGUCCAUGCCACCGCUGACUGGAACGACCGUCACACUAUCACCGGGAAGGGCUGUAAAAUCCCCAAAGCCCUAACUCCCAUCUUGCUCCGUAUAGUUCGCCGUGGACAUGGAGAUCGAUCAUCCAACGCCGUCCGAGCUGAAACUCAAAGCCGAAGAUCUCUUCAAAGCCGCCGAGACCGGUGAUUCUUUGGCGUUCAAAUCUCUCUCAGUGAAACAGCUCGCCGAAGCUUUCUCUCUCAGGAACGAGGACGCCCGCUCCCUCCUCCACGUCGCUGUCUCUUCAGGUCGCUCCGAGGUCCGUUUUCUUCUACAUUCCUCAAUAUCCUGUUUGGUUCCCAAGAAACUGUGGAGAAAAUUGAGAAAAUUUGAGGGUGCCCUCUGCUUUCUAUUUGGUUUCUGUUUCAAUUGAAUAUCGGUACUUUGAAUUCGUUCUCAUUUAGCUUCAAUUGUAAUUGUGAAUGCUCUUCGCUACAAAGGUGAUGAAGCUGCUGAUUGAUGCUGAUGAAUCAACGAGUGUGAUAAACAGCACGGAUGAAGAUGGAUGGGCGCCGCUUCAUUCUGCGGCCAGCAUUGGGAAUUCAGAAAUAGUUGAGCUGUUGCUAAGCAAAGGUAAAUUUGUCAGAUUUCAUUGCUAUCUGCUUCAUGUUGUUUGUAUCACCGUUAACUAGGCAAUGUAGUACAUGUGGUGGGCGUAGUCACGUUGGCUAGAGCGGAUGUGCUUCUCUAUGCACCCAAGUUUCAAAUCCCCCUUCUCGCUGUUUAAUUGGGUUUAAAGUAUUAUUGAGUUUAAAGUAGAAUAUCGUGUGAAAAACAAUGAUAGUUACUUGAACAUGGCUGAUUGUGCUAUUUCAAUCUUCUGAUUUUGUGGUUCUUAACAGGAGCUGAUGUUAAUUUAAAAAACAAUGGCGGUCGAUCUGCCCUUCAUUAUGCUGCCAGUAAGGGAUGGUUUGAGGUUGCUCAGAGUUUGAUCUCCCAUGGGGCAAAGGUUAAUCUGAAGGACAAGGUUUGUAACUUAACAUAAUGGUGUUUUAUCUAGGGAAUGGGAACCUUUAAUUUAAGUAUGUAUCCAGUUUAAUGAACAUCGUGCACUGAUGGAGUGUUUAGUUUAUUUGUAAUUGCUAAAUUGUGAACAUAUGGUAUGCAUUGUGCUCAGGUUGGUUGCACCCCAUUGCACCGGGCAGCUAGCACUGCAAAAUCACAACUGUGUGAGCUUUUAAUUGAGGAAGGGGCAGAGGUUGAUGCUAUUGAUAGAGCUGGUCAGACUCCUCUUAUGGGUGCGGUGAUUUGCGAUAACAAAGAGGUAUGUUUCGGUGACUCUGAGAAAGAGAUUCUUAUUUUUGCCGAACACAUGGAGAUAUUUGUUUGGUUGGUCAAGAAUUACACCAUGAAUGCCACUUUUAUUGCCCCUUUUGAGUCUACUCUCUACACUCUCGUUUUAAUACGCCAGUUGGGAUUGAGCAUUUCUGAUUCGGAUUAGAGCAAUGAAAUAAAGGUUAUAAAGAGAUUAGUCUUAGGAAAUGCAUGCUUGGUUGCAAUUUACUGUGUUUCGUUCUGUCUUUGUUUGACUAAUAUGGACUUGACUGUAAUAUGCGCCUUAAAUUACUAUCUUAACGGCUUGACAGCUCCAUAUCAUAUAAUGCUUCUGCCUAAUGGCAACUAUUGUGAAGAAGGGCUUGAAGAUCUUUGGUGUUUCUCCAAUUGAUUUUAAACACUGACCUUGAUCCUGGCUUUUUAGAGCCCGUUGAAUGAGUGCUUAACCUGUUCACUCUAGCUUGAUGGCGUGUGAUAUAUAAUGCAUGUUGCCUGUGGUGUUUAAUUUCUUCUUCCAAUUUCGUGGCAUUCUUUUACAUCUCUGUUUUUGUUAUUGCUAGACAAAUAGGCCCGUUGUAAACGGGAAGUAAAUUAACUGUUAUGCUCAGUGAUUUCUGCCUUCGGGUUAAGUAAUGCGAAGGAUAGAACAAUGGUCAGUGUGUUGAUGCUGUAGAGAAAAUGAUGAGAAAUUCUGCAGAGGUUGCAAUAGUUAUUAUGACCUGCAUAUAUUGUUUCCCUCUUGGUUUGAACCAUAUUGUUGUAUAGGUUUAGGUUAUAUAUAAUUUAGGGAGGUUUAUUGAAAAAAGCUUCACCAAAUUUGUUUGUGAACAAAAAAAUCAUCUAAUAACUUUAUUGAUUGAAAAAGACUGAAAAUUAAUAAAAAUAACUUGAAAUUUAAUGAAAUGAUAAAAAAAAUUAAUAUUAAAAAACUUACACGCAUUCCCGUGCAUCUUGCCACAUCCCUCUCCCUCAUUUUUUCUCCCCAUCACUCCAUAGUGGGAUAUGUGUCAUUACAUAAAUAGUGGAAUUAUCAUACAGGAUGAUAUACCACGUGUCAUUACAUAAAUAGUGAGAUAUGAAUGUUAAAAUGUUAAUGACUUAAAAAAUAUAAUUUUUCACUACUUGCAUAAAAACACAUGAUGUACCAUCCAUGUUCCCGUCACAAUUAAAAAUUUCUCCCCAGGGAAGAGAGAGAGAGAAACGGAUGGGGCAUGGGUGAAGAGGAAACAAGGAGAGAGAAAGAAAGGAGAGAGUCUAAUUUGUGUUUUGGUUAAUAUUUUAUUAUAUUUUGUUCAAUAAAGUUAUUAGACGUUUUGAUUAAGAUUCAACAUUUUGAAGUUAUUUUCAUUAGUUUCGUCAUUGGUACGUGUUAACGGUGCACUUCUCAGUCAUCAAUUUAAUACCAAGUUGACAUGGGAAGAAGUUUGUAUUAACAUCUAAUUUUGUCAAACAGAAGGCAUAAUUCAUAGUUUUUCUGAGAUCUCCAAUCAUUUGUGUCGAUGGCAGGUUUGUCUCCUUCUAAUAAGGCACGGAGCGGACGUGGACGUGGAAGACAAGGAAGGAUACACGGUGCUUGGUCGAGCUUCUAAAGAAUUUAGACCACUUUUGAUCGACGCUGCUAAGGCCAUGAUUGAAGGAUGAUUUUCUCGAUUUGCUUUGUUUUUUGUGGAAGCAAACUGCACGAGUGAUGUUUAAAUAGCCACUCAGAAACAAAGAGGAAAUAGGAAUUUUGCGUGCUGUUUAACCAAAGGAUUUCUUGCAGGCUAUCGACAAUUUCGGUUUCACUAUUUCAGUACUCCUCCCACAUGUUGACCUACUCUCAGAAAAAAAUGAAAAUUUGAAUGAUCUAUUUUUUGGUAAAUUAACUCCCUAAAAUAUUUAAAUCAAUUUAUUACCUCUCUUUUUUUUUUUAACAAAGAAAAUUUGAUUAGGAUUAUCUCUCCGGUCCAGAGAUUUUUGAGGUCUGGGGCAAAGCGAAAAAAUGUGCCCUCACUUCAUAUAAAAAAAUUAUUUGUUUUUACACGUAAGACAUUGAUAAAAUUAUAUUUAGAAAAGUACUUCAAACUCAGUAAUUUAGAAAUACAGAAAAACUUAUUUAUUUUGUAUUGAAAGAAGGAAACCAAAAAACUUCAGACUUACAAGUAGAUGGAUUAUGAGUUUUGUCUUCCAUAUGAACUUUUAAAGUUUUUUGUAUAAAUCAUGAGGUGUUUUUUCUUAUUUACUAACCUCGUCAAUAUAAGAAUAAAAAAAAUAAUGAUAUUUUCGAGUCUUUAAGGAUAUGUAUAAGUAAUGAAAAGGCACCAAAUUAACCUUUGGAUGACACGUCAUAUGAUUUGCAAAUUUGGUCUAAAAAUUUAGUUUACGCAUUACCCUUUGUUGAAGAUUAGACUUGAAUUGGAACUAAUGUUUAAAAAUAACAACCUACAUAGUUACUAGCUAGUAAUUAAAGAUAAAUUAAUAACCAAACAAAAAUUUGUAAAAAUUGAAAAAAAAGCAUGCACAUAGCAUUUCGAACUUAUGACCUCUCAUUAAUUUUAAAUACAAAAAUCUUUGCUUCUAAUUAAACUUCUAAUCAAUUAGUCAAAUUUUAUAAAUUUAUAUUGUUAUGAAAAGAAAUUUGUAAAAAUUGAAAUUUAAAUAAGCACACAUGGUGUUUUGAACCCAAGACAUCCUCAUUAAUUUCAAACACAAAAUUACUGGUUCUAAUUAAAUUUCUUUGUCGUUGAACCAAAUUUUAUAAAUUUAUACUCUUAUGAAAACGUAUAUAAAUAUGCCACACUAAUAAUUUUGGAGCCCCUAAUUUUUUUGGGCCCUGGACGGUCGCCGUGCCCGCACUGGGCCUAUGUCGGCCCUGUCUUAUCACCAUCCCUUUCUGUUUCCUCUUUUCACCAACCACAUCAUUUGGUUUACAAAAUUUAGUUUAAAAAAUUUGGUCUUAUAUCCGAUUGGUGACACACCAAUUAUCUCUCAAUUUUAGAUUUGAAAAAGUUAAUUUGCUUUGCCGUUGGAUUUGAGAUUAAGAAGACGAAUUUAUCCUCAAAUUCGACGGCAAAGUAGAUGAAUUUCUUCAAAUCUCAUGGUAAGGGUUAAUUGGCUGAUUUUAAAUAGUUAAGGAGGUUAAUGCAUCCAAAAAGGAUAAUGUUAUAGAUACUGAAUUUGUAAGGAUAAUAUUAAGAAGACUAAAUUUGUAAAUUAAAUGAUGUGUUAUAAAUAAAAAAUAAGUUCGUUAAUCAACACUUAAAUAAUAAUCUAAUUAUCAGCAAUCACAUUAUUUGAUUUACAAAAUUUAAUUUAAAAAUUCGGUCUUAUAUUCUAUUCGUGACAAAUAAUUUGGUUUUGCAAAAAUUUGGUCUCUCCGUAUAAUUUAAUGCUAAUUUCACAAUUUUGACCCCACAAAAUUGACCUCUACGGUGUGAUACCCUUUGGCAUUUUUCUCAAUUCAGUCAUGAUUUAAUGCAAGCUUCAGUGCUUCACAAGGUGGCCUCUCCACACUCAAAGCUCUCUGUUUUAACGACCACCAUCGCCACCACCUCCCUCCCAAGAUGGCAGCAGACUCCGGCAGCCUUCUCCAAACCCCCGAAACUCAUGUCGUUCUUUUACCCAGCUCCCAGAUGGGGCACUUGACACCCAUGCUACGACUUGCCGCCUUAUUACUUGCCCAGAACUACUGCCCACUGAGGCUCACCCUCAUCACCGCCCACCCCACCGUCUCCCUCGCCGAGUCAGCUCUCAUCUCCCGCUUCCUCUCAGCUUACCACGACCGAGUUACUCACCUCCAGUUCCAUCCUUUUUCUAUACACCCUUCCACCGUGAAUUCCACCGACCCGUUUUGGAUCCAGUUUGAAGUCAUCCGCUGCUCCGCUCACCUCCUAACUCCUUUGCUUUCCACUCUCUCUCCUCCUGCCUCCGCCCUCAUCUACGACAUCAGUUUACUCUCCCCCGUCCUCCCCGUCAUCCAAACCCUCCCUUAUCAUCUUCCUGCCUACACCAUCAUCCCCUCCAACACCAGAAUGUACUCUCUCUUGUCAUCUCUUUUCACAAAUUUGCUUCCUCCAUAGCCCAACUCAACGAUGACGAUGUUCUUCCCAUCCCCGGCAUUAAUCCGCCAUUACGCAAAUCAACGAUUCCUCCAUUGCUCUGCGUUCCCAACAGCCUCUUUUCCAAUAUCUUCAUAGAGGACGGUCCGAAUCUCCAGAAACUAGCUGGAGUUCUGAUUUUCACGUUUGAAGCGCUGGAAGCAGAGGGGCCGGAGGCGAUCAGCGGCGGGUCGCCUCCAGUUUUCUCUGUCGGGCCUUUCGUACCCUGCGAAUUUGAGAAGCUGCCUGCACAUGGGGAUGGUGAUCAAUGCGGCGGUGAUCCAGGGCAACCGCAACCGUUUGAGUGGCUUAAUGAACAGCCUGAUGGGUCGGUGGUGUAUGUGGCCUUCGGAAGCAAGACAGCUCUGUCAAGUGAGCACAUCAGAGAGGUGGGAGAUGGCUUGGAGAAAAGCAGGUUCAGGUUCUUGUGUGUGGUGAAGGAGAAGAUGGUUGACAGUGAAGAGGAAGGAGGAGAGGGUAAUUUGGUAAGAAUAGAGGGGAGGGGGCUGGUGGUGAGAAGGUGGGCGGAGCAAGGGGAAAUCUUGGGGCAUAGAGCAGUGGGCGGGUUUUUGAGCCACAGCGGGUGGAACUCGGUGGUUGAGGCGGCGUGGCACGGCGUUAGGGACCUUGCAUGGCCGCAGAACGGGGACCAAAAUGUGGUUGCGGAGGUGGCUGAGAUAUGUGGGCUCGGAAUUUGGGAGAAAUCAUGGCUUUGGAGUGGCGACCGUGAGAAGAAGUUGGUUAAGGGAGAUGAGAUUGCUGUGAAGAUUAAGGAAUUGAUGGACAGUGAUGGCUGCGAGGAUCGGAGAAGCGGCUAAGAAAGCUGCCAGAGCCGGUGGUGCAAGGGAGGAGACGCUGAAGAGACUCGUUGAGGAGUGGAGGAAGAAGGAGGUUUAGUGAUUGAAGUUGAAUUUAUGCAUGUAUGGCCGGUUUGAGUUGAAUCCAAAUGUUGCAGGCUUGCAGCUGGUUGGCAGACUUUUUUAUGUUUUUGUGUGUUUCUCUAGUUUUGGUAAUAAAAGCGUAGCCAAAUUUGUGUGUGACCAUUUAGUAUGUAACAAGUCUAUGACUCUAAAAUGGUGAGAAAAUAGUGUGGAAGAUGUUAUGCACAAUGUUUUACUUUGUUGUCCAUUCAUAACCACUGUUUGAGAUUUUUUCAAUAGGGUUAAUAUCUUUGUGAAAAUAUCAGAAAAAAUCAGAGACAAAUAUGGAAACUUAAUCCAUUAUUAAAGAAAUUCUUAAAUUUUAGCUAAAAUCGAUAGAUUUCCUCGAUAUUUUUGACAUAUCAGGUAAUAUCGGAAAAACUUUUAUAUUUUGUUUAAACCAGUGUUUGACAUUCUCUAAAGUUUUAUUUAAAUUUUCAUGUUUUUGAACAAAUUGUCAUAAUUUUCAUUGAAAACAGCCGAUAUCGAUAUAUUCGUCGACAUUUCACAAAUUUAAAUAUCGAUAAUUCUACUAAUACAUGUAGAUGCAAAUUUCCACCUUCUUCUUCACCUACAAAACAAUUAACACCUUAGGUCAAGGCUAAGAACCUCAUGCGCUCACGAUGAAUGGGGGGAGGGAGCUUUGGCCGAAGAAACUCCAAUGCCAAAGUUAGAAUUUGAGGGAAAAGUGUUUAGAGAAAUUUGGAGAAUUUAGCAAGAGAGUUGGACUUAGGUUUUUGGAGAAAUGAGGUAUUCAUAGUGCCCCUACCUAUGACUCUGUGCCAUCUCCUUCCCCCAAAGUAAAGCGCCUAACCUCUGAAACCUCCGUUACCGUCGGCCUCUUUGCUCCGGCUUGAGGUCGGCAGCAGCCUAGCCCUCCCCUCCUCGUCCUCCUCUAUCUUCCUCGCCCGUCCACCCUAUAUUUUCAUCUUUUUCGUCUAUCCCUUCCUGUUUUUCGCCCUUCUUCUUCUUCAUUUUUCUUCACCCUUGUUUCCUUUCUUUCUCCCUAUCUUUCCCUCUCUGUCCUCCCGAUUUCCCCAUCUCCCCUUUCUCUUCUAGCUCCACCUCUCCAAGCCACCAUGGUUGGAGAUUUAGUUUAUCUAUUUAUGCUUUUAGCUUUCGUUUACUUUCUGUUUGAGCAUUUUGUGUCUCAGGUUGCUCUGAGUUUGGUCUCAGUAUUCCCUGAGUUUAUCUCAGAUCUAUUUUCUUUGCCUUGUUCCUCUCCAAUCAUCGUUCCUCACCGUGAAUCUCCUACCAUCUACCCUUGCUACUUCGCAUAAUUUAAAGUGUUUUUUGCACUAUUUUGUAGGAUUAUGGGAGCGCUUCCAACACGAGGAGCUUGCCUACCCCCAUUUUCUGUUCAUCAUUUUAGUUCUUUGGCCCUUUUUCCGGGUGGUGGUGACAGAUCCGCGGUGGCGAUGCGGUUGUGUUGGUGGAGGUGGCUGUCUAUGGUUUUUGAUUUGGUUGCUGUUAUAGGCUGCUCACUUUGGGCCCUUCUCAUUGUAAUUUUCGUUUAUGGUGUUAGGCUUUUGCUUGGCUUUUUUGGACUCUCUUUUGGAGUUUUCCUUACCUUGUAUUAGCUUUCUCUUUAAUGAAUUUUACUUUGUUUGUCCAAAUUUUUUUUUUUUAUAGGGGUGUGGCCGGCCCCUUUUGAGAUAGAUGGGAACCGGCCACAUUUGGUGGUUUUUGGGUGUAAUUGCAAGAUAUUAUGUCAAAAUAAUAUCUUGCAAUCAAUUAGAAAAUUAAUUAAUUAAUUAGAAAAUUAAUCAAUUAAUUUAGGUAAUUAAUCAUAUUUUGAAUAAAUAUUUUGGAGGUUACCUUGUGUGGAUGAUUUGAUGAGGAUUGAUGAAAUAUGUUUUGAAUAAAUACCUAUUUUGAUUACUUUUGACUUUGAUUGAGUUAUGAUUGUCCGCUGCUCGCGUGUGGGAGUUUCGGUGCGCCUCGAGGAUAAUUUUGUCUUUUUAACUCAAGAAUCCACGUGUCACCUUCAUAUUUUUCUUGAUUAUUUUUUGCUCCACAAUACCGAUAUUUAACAUUGAUUAUAAUACGUGAGCAACCC